UUCCUAAACUCACCAAAAUUCAGGCGAGUGAACCCAAACUCGCCUCAUGCGCUUCCCCUGCCACACGAUGUAUCUGACAAUUAGAAGAUUCCUUCCAGAUUUUGUGUGCCUCUCGAUCGAUUUGCUGGAUAAAUGGGGGUCGUGGAUGGAUAAAAAUCAAUCCUCACCCUCCAUUUGUCCCAAAAAUCGUUCAUAGAAAGGGUUUGAAAAGGAAUUUCGGAUGGGGGUUUUGGGCUGAAGCUUCGAGAAUUUUUCGGAAGGUCUAUAUAAGGUGAGAUUUUUCCUUGUGUGAAGGGGUUCAAGAUGAUUUUCAAAAAGGAUUUGGGGAGGUAAAAAGUUUUAGGUUUCUUUGAGUCCUUUUCUUCAGAUUCUUCAGGUUUAGAUUGCAUUUUCAGAAACAAAAAUAAAAAAAAUAUAGUUUGAGUUUGAUUUUGUUCGAGUUUUAGUUCAUUUCAAAAGAAAUCAGAAAAAUUACCAAAAUUUCAACAUUUUUUUGGUUUCUGGUUCUCAAGAAUGGAUUAUGAUUGAAGUUUAAGUUGGAGUAUGUGUUUGGGUUCGGAAUUCCGGUGCCGAUUAAAGUUUCCAUCCGAGGUUCGUGACUUGGCUCGUGAUUUCUGCUCGAUUGCGUUGCCGUUCUCAAUUUAAAUUUUGUAGCAGAACAUUACAGAAUUUUAGCCAAACAGGUCCAUUUUAAACUUUCUCUCUCUUUUGUUUGAACAUGUGUGGAAUAAAUUAAUUAUUGUCUAGACUAAGCCAUUAGUAAUUUUGGAACAUUAUUUAUUUUCUUCUUGACUCAGUUUACGUCGUGUUGAGUAUGUUUGUUUAAGUCAUAUCUCCUAGCAGCAUUUCCGUUUAGUUGAGUUUAAUGUAUCGACAUCUUUGCCAUUGUGAUUGUUCCUGUUUUUCUUUUUUGUUUUUCCUUUUAGCAAUUUGAACAAGAAUCUGUUAUAGCAUUUCCAUGAAGUUUUCUGAUUUGAAAUAAAGCAACAACAUGUGCUCGAUUAGGAAAUGAAUGGUCAUCGCUUCCGCCUGUGAUUAAAUUAUUAAAGCUUUCUAUGAAGCUUAGUGAAUGUACUCUUAAGAGGAAUAUGAUAGUAAAUGACUCAAGAAUUGAAAUAAGAAGUUUAUAUAGUAGGUUUGCUUUUUAUUUAAAUCAAUACGUGUGUUAUAGUUUAUUUUAUUUUUUUUCUGAAAAGCUCACCUGCCUAGUAUUUAAUUAAAAUAUUCUUAGCUUCUUCAAAUUCUCCGCUGGUUCGAUAUUAUAUCUGUUAGGAGUAGUAUAGUAGCCUGUUGGAAAUUUUGUCCGAAAUCGGUUUGUGUUAGUUGGCUUAUUCUUCCUUUUUCACUUGGCUCAAACAUGUGAUGAAUUUCAAGGGAGUUUUUCUUUAGUCACUUAGAUUCUUAAUCAAGAGAAAUCACCUGUUCACUUUGAGUUAUAUGCGUUGUUGUUCCCUUCCAUGGUUUAAUCAGUCAAAUAUUUAUAUGCAUGUUCCAAUAUUAUUUUGCCAUGUUUGCAUUGCUGGUUUUUCAUUUUUAAAUGUUAGAAUUUUGUAGCAGACAGAGAAUGGGGGGGGGGGGGGGAGGUGCAAGGGAUGUCAUGGUUUUUGUAUCGUAAUGUUAGCCCAUUUUUUUCAUUUUUUUUCCUCUCUGUUAUUCAUUUUGUGAUGUGUGUUUAUAAGCUUACUGGUACCAGGUGUCUUUGGAAAGUUAUUUGUUCGUUGUGUUAUCAUCUUUAUUUAGUUUGGUUAAGUUGUUUGAAAUGGGUCAUGGGAAAUGGAGUACAACUAGUUCUUAACAACUAAAUCAUGUUCAGAUGUUGUAGGAUCUAGGUUAUGUUAUGUGAAUGAAUCAAAAGAAAGUGAAUGAGUCCAUAAUUAAUUGGUCUUUCCAACCAGGUACAGAUAGAGGUGUUAAAGUGAAUCCCUAUAUGUAUAAUUGACUAUUAUUUUGUCUGUGAGUUUGAGCAGAAUAAAACACAACAGGGAUCAAUAAAGUAGGGUAACAAAAUAUCUCUACCUAACCUUAGCAAUCUAAUUUCUGAUACUUGAAUUUCGAAUCGUCAAGUCUGCAUUUCUUAUUUCUUUCGUGUUUGUUUUUUCCCUUAAAUCUAACAUAUAGAAUAUUUCUCCAUAGAAUAAUUAACAAUACCGUAGUUUGUUUUAGGGGCGAUAAUUAAAUAAAUCGUCAUAGCUACGGGUACGGUUCCCGUGACGUAGUUGUGAUACUUAAUUUCGAAUUGAUUUUAAAUAUGAACAUCCGUAGUUAAAUGCUUUUCCCUUUAAUAAAAUUGAGGUGUGCCAUCCAAUCACCUAGUCUAUGACCCUCACAUCAAUAUCCUAACCAAUGUAAAAGAAUGCCUUGAAUUCUCGUCCUCUUUCUAUGGAUAAAUAUAUGUGCAUAUGUACAUGGUUUUGGAUAAGAAGCAAGAAAGAAAAAUAAAAAUCAACCCAAAGACCAAGUUUCUGCACAUGGCCAACUAUAAUUGAGUCUCGUUCUUUUCUUCUUUUUUUUAUUUUUUUUAUAUUUUUUUGUUUUUAUUUGUAUAAAUUUCUUUUUAAAGUAAUAAAUAGGAAAAUUAGAUACUAUACCUAAAUCAAAAAUUGUAGGACAAAAUACUAAUUACCCGAUAUUUACUCGAUAGAGCCUCCUACUUGAAGUUAAACUAGAUUAAAAUAAAUAUGUAUAGUUUGGGAGGCUUUUUCUAUAUUUUGUAACCAAAAAAAAUUAAAUAAAACUAGUAUCUAAAAGCAUGACUCUUUUUUGUGUUUUUUUUUUAAAUUUUCUUAAAUUGAAUAAAGCAAAAUGAAAAAAAAAAGUUUAAAAUGGCGUUAUUAGGCCUAAAACCAACAUCUAAACACUAAAAGGUAUAAAAUUUUGGGGAGGGCAAAAAUUACAUAUCUACAAUAAUCACGAGAAGUCCCGGCAAGGGAACAAUAAUAUCAAACAAACAUCCCGGCAAGGGAACAAUAAUAUCUCAACAAUAUCCCGGCAAGGGAACGAUAAUAUCUCAACAACAUCUCGGCAAGGGAACUAUAAUAUCAAAAUAACAUGGGAGGCACAAUAAACCACAAUAGAGUCAUAACCAUUUAUAACACAAGACACACGGGCAUGCUUGACACCGACGUAUAGAUACUCGUCACCAUGCCUAUACAUCGUACUCCACAAUUAACAUGUAGCAAAUAGAGUCGCGUUCGCAUAGAAGAAAAUGAGCGGCUGAGCUUCAGUGGAUUUAAUUCAUCGCGUUCGCAAUAGGUGGAACGCGAUCGCGAAGUCCUGUCUGAGUAAAGAAUCGCGUUCACGAUGUGGUGGUCAUGAUCGCGAAAGAGGAAUUUGCUCAAGGUUAUUUUUGUGCUUCGCGAAUGCAAGGCUUUGACCGCGUUUGCGAAGAAGGAUUUUUAGGUGUGGGCAGAAGGUUUAAAAGGUCGCCUUGUCCGCGAAUGUGAGAUUUAUUACUUCCAUUGUUGGUCGUUUUUGGAUCUAAUUGAAGGAGAUUGAAGAGGGAUUCAAGGGGAAUCACUUGGAGAUUAGAAUUUUGGAUUUAAAACUCGAUUCUAUUGUGAAAUCUACCUAAUAAAUCAUAGAAUCUAUGCCUAAAAUUGAGGAAUUAGGGCUUGAGAUUAAGAGACUUUAAAUAAGAAUUUGAGGGGCCAUUUAGACUCCGAUUUCAGUGUUCUUGGUAUGUAUGGACUUGUGGGAGGAUAAGGAUUCCGUUGAUGUGGUUUUUAUCGAGUUUCGAGACGUUGGCCCGGGGCUCGGGUUUGGAAAAUUUCGGGAAUUUUGGUAUUAUUUGAUUGUUUUCGCUUGGGCUUCUUUCCCUUAGCAUAUUUUGACGCCGUGAUUCUGAUUUUGGAUAGAUUCGAUGCGAGUGGAGUCCGAUUCAAGGGGCAAAGCUAUCGCGGAGUAGUAUUUUCAUCGAUUUGAGGUAAGUAACCAUUGUAAAUCUGGAACUGAUGGUAUAAACCCUGGUAUUUGACUUGUUUUGAUAAAUGCGGUGACGCACAUGCUAGCUGACGAGCGUGUGGGCAUGCACCAAUAGGGAUUGUGACUUGGUCCGUUCCGUAGCGACUAUUGAGCCGCGUAUUUGAUUUGAAUCCUUAAGAUAUUCCGUACUUUAAUCAUUUAUACUGUAUUAUGGGCUGUAUGCUAUGUUUGGGGCCUGUGCCGACCUGUUGAGACCCUUAGGGGCAUUUUUACUGUUUUCCUCACUUUACUUGUUGAAAGCAUAUCCUCGGUCAUGUUUUACCUGUUUAAAUGUUUAAAAUUGGUUUUAUUACUCUACUUCUAAUUAUGAGGACUGUUUGGGCUGAGUUCCUUAAUUUCUAUUGUUGUGCCCGAGAGGCUGCGCGGUUAAUGACUGAGAGGGGUUGAGAACCUAAUAGUGAGGAUAUUAUAUGUAUAUAUUAUGGAUCGGUCUACACGCUGCAUCAAUACUUAUAUGGAUCGGGAUGCAUCCCGCAACGAUAUAUAUAUAUAUAUAUAUAUAUAUAUAUAUAUAUAUAUAUAUAUAGUNNNNNNNNNNNNNNNNNNNNNNNNNNNNNNNNNNNNNNNNNNNNNNNNNNNNNNNNNNNNNNNNNNNNNNNNNNNNNNNNNNNNNNNNNNNNNNNNNNNNNNNNNNNNNNNNNNNNNNNNNNNNNNNNNNNNNNNNNNNNNNNNNNNNNNNNNNNNNNNNNNNNNNNNNNNNNNNNNNNNNNNNNNNNNNNNNNNNNNNNNNNNNNNNNNNNNNNNNNNNNNNNNNNNNNNNNNNNNNNNNNNNNNNNNNNNNNNNNNNNNNNNNNNNNNNNNNNNNNNNNNNNNNNNNNNNNNNNNNNNNNNNNNNNNNNNNNNNNNNNNNNNNNNNNNNNNNNNNNNNNNNNNNNNNNNNNNNNNNNNNNNNNNNNNNNNNNNNNNNNNNNNNNNNNNNNNNNNNNNNNNNNNNNNNNNNNNNNNNNNNNNNNNNNNNNNNNNNNNNNNNNNNNNNNNNNNNNNNNNNNNNNNNNNNNNNNNNNNNNNNNNNNNNNNNNNNNNNNNNNNNNNNNNNNNNNNNNNNNNNNNNNNNNNNNNNNNNNNNNNNNNNNNNNNNNNNNNNNNNNNNNNNNNNNNNNNNNNNNNNNNNNNNNNNNNNNNNNNNNNNNNNNNACUGAGCAUAGUCGAUAAUAAAUUAAGGAUCGGGCUUCACGCCGCAAUGGUUACUAUGGUUUCUAUUAUUAUGAGAUACUAAUGAGCCUGAGUGCUGAGAGUGAGUACUGAGUGACAACAGUGAGUCACGAGUGGCUGAGAGGCUGCCCGAGAGACCAUGUUCUGAGUGAUACCUUGCCCGAGGGGCCCAAUUAUGAUAUUUUUACUGAUUUCACUCUUCUUUUAAAAAUAGCCUCUGUUGGAAAUAUUGCUAAUUAUAUUAUUUUAAGUUUUUAAACUAAAGUUAAUAAUUUUUAUGAUGAAACGGGUUGUAAACUGUGAAAUGGAUCUGUUAUCCUAUCGUUUAUUCAGUUAUAUGAUUUCUAACUGCUUGUCACCGCUUUCAGACCUUAUUUACUUUAGUUACUUGCUGAGUUGGGGUACUCACGUUACUCCUUGCACCUUGUGUGCAGAUCCAGGUGUCUGAGUGGUAGAGUGAGGGUCCUCAGUUAAUCCAUAGGUUGCCGGAGAUUUCAAGGUAGCUGCAUGGUGUCCGCAACCCUGUUUUCUCCUUCUUAUCUUGUUCUUUUCUGCAUCUUUCAAGACUUUUAUUGUAUCAGACAGUCAGUUAUGUAGUAGAGGCUAUAGACUCAUGACACCAGAUGUUUGGGGCUGUGUAGUUUUCAUGUUUAUUUGACUUCCGCAUAUGUAAUUAUGUUUUAAAUGCUUAUUUUGGAUAUUUGGUAUUUAAACCUGUGUUAGAAAAGGAAAUUAUUGUAGUUAAUGGUUUGGGUUGGCUUUCCUAGUAAUGUGAUAGGCGCCAUCACGACUGGGUUUUUAGGGUCGUGACAAGUUGGUAUCAGAGCCUAGGUUACAUAGGUCUCGCGAGUCAUGAGCUGGUUUAGUAUAGUCUCGCGGAUCGGUAUGGAGACGUCUAUAUUUAUCCUCGAGAGGUUGCAGAACCUUUAGGAAAAAAACUUCAUAUUCUUGAAAUUCUUGUCAUGCGAACUUGUUGAUCCGAAUACUAAACUUCUAUUAUUCCAUUCUCUCACAGAUGGUGAGGACACAUGCUACCGGGCAGGGUGGACGACCACCAGUUCCACCAGUUGGGGCCACCAGAGGCCGAGGACACGGUCGAGGCCGUAGUAGGGGCAUAGCAGCUAGGGCAGCACAUGUAGAUCCACUAACUGCCCCAGUUCAGGAUCAGGUCCCAGUUAUAUAUGCUACAGCAGCACCAGUUCAGGCACCUGCUGUGCCUGUUGUGAUUCCAUGCCUUCAGGAGGCUUUAGCUUAGAUCUUAUCAGUGUGUACCGGUUUGGAUUAGGCGGUCUCAGUUACUAUGGCCGCAACUACUUCUCAGGUCGGGGGAGGCACCCAGACUCUCGUUUCUUGCACACCUGAGCAGGUUGUGCAGGGACUCCAGACACCGGGGGCACCUCCAGCCUAGUCGGUUGCACCAGUUCAGGAGUUUGUGGUACAAGUUAUGCCGGACGACAAGCUGCAUCGACUAAAGAGGUUUGGUAGACUCAAGCCUCUGAUUUUUAGCAGUGUAGAGUGCGAAGAUGCCUAGGGUUUCUUAGAGAAAUGCUAGAGGACGCGUCGUACAACGGAGAUUCUAGAGACCAGUAGUGUAGCUUUUACCACCUUUCAGUUUUAUGGGGCUGCCUUCACUUGGUGAGAGGCGUAUGAGAGGUGUAGGACUGUUGGUGCAACGCCCCUUACUUGGCAGCAGUUCUCUGUUCUCUUUCUGGAGAAGUAUGUGCCACAGUCUCGCCGAGAGGAGUUGCGCAGGCAGUUUGGGUAGUUGCAUCAGGGAUAGCUGACUGUGACACAAUAUGAGAUACGAUUUUCUGAGUUAGCUCAUCAUGCGGUCAGGUUGGUUCCGACUGGUAGAGAGAGCAUUAUGAGGUUUCUUGAUGGUCUCAUAUAUCAGCUUCAGAUUCUCAUGACUAGGGAGAGGGGGACAGGUUCUACUUUUAAGGAGGUUGUUGACAUCAUCCGUGAUAUUGAGUCGGUUCGCCGCCAGGAGCGAGAGGAGAGGGAGGCCAAGAGGCCUCAGGGAUCUGGUAGCUUUAGUGGUGCUCCUUCGAGGGGCCAGUUCCAGCAGGGCAGAGGUCACCCAUUCAGACAGGCUCAUUCAGCUCAUCCAAGUUAUCAUAGGGCAUUAUCAGGUCAUGGUUCUCACAAUUCUCAUCAGCGCCACUCAUCACUCAGUGCCCUUCCAGCCCAGAGUUCGUCCCGUGCUCCAUCAGUGCAGGGUUCUUCCAUGCCAGGUCCUUCUACUGGUCAUCCCGGUGCCAGGAGUUCCCUUCAGUCCCCAUCUCCAGCACCGGGGUGUUGUUAUGAUUGUGGAGAGUUUAGGCAUAUGAGGAGGCAGUUCCUUGUCUUCAUGAUGGUCAGUCUCAGCAGAGGGGUCAGCCCUCAACUUGUGCUCCAGUUACUUCACCACCUGCCCAGCCAGCUAGGGGUGGAGGUCAGUCAACUAGGGGUCGCCCUAGAGGGGGAGGUCGAUCAAGUAGUGGUCAGGCUCGUUUCUAUGCCUUCCUAGGUAGACCAGAUGUUGCUGCUUUAGGUGUCGUGAUUUCAGGUAUUGUUUCAGUCUGCCACAAAUAUGCCUCUGUAUUAUUUUAUCCCGAUUCUACCUUUUCUUAUUUGUCAUCAUACUUUUCCCGUUAUCUGGAUACGCCCCAUGAGUCUCUUAUUUCACAUGUUCAUGUAUUUACUCUAGUGGGCGAUACCGUUGUUGUAGACCAUGUGUAUCGAUCAUGUGUGGUGACUAUUGGGGGUCUAUAGAUCCGAGUGGAUCUUUUAUAAUUGUGUAUGGUAGAUUUCGAUAUCAUUUUGGUCAUGGACUAGUUAUAUCCAUGUUGUGCUAUUCUGGACUAUCAUGCCAAGACAGUCACAUUGGCUAUACCGGGUAUGCCACGGAUUGAGUGGCGAGGCUUGACUGAUUAUGUUCCCAGUAGAGUGAUCUCUCAUUCUUGAAGGCUCAGUGUAUGGUUGUGAAGGGCUGUCUUUCGUAUCUAACCUUUAUGAGGGAUGUCGGAGCUGAGACUUCCAGUAUUGAUUCUGUUCCAGUUGUGAGGGAUUUUCCCGAUGUGUUUCAUGCAAAUAUCUCGGGCAUGCCACCGCACAGGGAUAUUGAUUUUGGUAUUGACCUGGCGCCGGGCACUCAACCCAUUUCUAUUCCGCCGUAUCGUAUGACACCAGCGGAGUUGAAGGAAUUAAAAGAGCAGCUUUAGGAACUCCUUGACAAAGGGUUCAUUCGGCCUAGUGUGUCACCUUAGGGUGUGCCGGUUCUAUUUGUGAAGAAGAAGAAUGACACUAUGAGGAUGUGCAUUGAUUCUAGGCAAUUGAACAAAGUAAAAAUUAAGAACAAGUAUUCUUUGGCUUGCAUUGAUGAUUUAUUCGACCAGCUUCAGGGCGCGAGUUUGUUCUCCAAGAUUGAUCUCCGUUCAUGUUAUCACCAGUUGAAGAUCAGGGACUCGGAUAUUCUUAAGACAACUUUCAGGACCCGAUAUAGUCAUUAUGAGUUAUUGGUGAUGUCAUUUGGGCUGACCAAUGCCCCAGCAACAUUCAUGCAUUUGAUGAACAACGUGUUCCGACCUUAUCUUGAUUCGUUUGUCAUAGUCUUCAUUGAUGAUAAUUUGGUGUAUUCGCGUAGUUAGUAGGAGCACGCGGGGCAUUUGAGAGUUGUGUUGCAGAGAUUGAGGGAGGAGAAGCUUUAUGCAAAAUUGUCCAUGUGUGAGUUUUGGAUCAGUUCAGUGGCAUUCUUGGGACACGUGGUGUCCAGUGAGGGUAUUCAGGUUUAUCCAAAGAUGAUAGAGACAGUUCAGAGUUGGCUCAGACCGUCCUCAGCCAUAGAGAUUCACAGCUUUCUUGGUUUGGCGGAUUAUUAUCGCCGGUUUGUUCAAGGAUUAUCAUCUAUCACAUUACCCUUGACUAAGUUGACUCAGAAGGGUGCUUCAUUUGUAUGGUCGGACGAGUGUGAUGAGAGCUUUCAGAAGCUCAAGAUAGUUUUGACCAUAGCUCUAGUGUUAGUUUUCCCAUCAGCUUCAGGUUCAUAUACCGUGUAUUGUGAUGCUUCGAAAGUUGGCAUUGGUUGUGUAUUGAUGCAGGAGGGUAGAGUUAUGGCUUAUGUUUCUCAUCAGUUGAAUCCUCAUGAGAAGAACUACCCGUUCAUGAUUUGGAGUUGGCUGCCAUAGUUCACGCAUUGAAAAUUUAGAGGCAUUACUUGUAUGGUAUGUCUUGGGAGGUGUUUACUGAUCAUCGUAGCCUUCAGCACUUGUUCAAGCAGAAACAUCUCAAUUUGAGGCAGCGGAGGUGGUUGGAGUUGCUUAAGGAUUAUGAUAUCACUAUAUUGUACCAUCCAGGGAAGGCCAAUGUGGUGGUCGAUGCUUUGAGCCGAAAGGCGGUAAGUAUGGGGAGUUUGGCAUAUAUUCCAGUUGGGGAGAGACCUCUUGCAGUUGAUGUUUAGGCCUUGGCCAAUCGGUUUGUGAGGUUAGAUAUUUUGGAGCCUAGUCAUGUAUUGGCUUGUGUGGUUUCUCGGUCUUCUUUAUAUGAUCGCAUUAGAGAGCGCCAGUAUGAUGAUCCAUAUUUUCUUGUCCUUAUGGACAGAGUUCAGCAUGAUUAUGCCAGAGAUGUGACUAUUGGUGAUGAUGGGGUGUUGAGGAUGCAGGGCCGGAUUUGUAUGACCAAUAUAGAUGAGCUUCGGGAGUUGAUUCUGGAGGAGGCCCAUAGCUCGUGGUAUUCCAUUCAAUCGGGUUUUGCGAAGAUGUAUCAGGAUUUAAGGUAGCAUUAUUGGUGGAGAAAAAUGAAGAAAUACAUUGUGGGAUUUGUAGCUCGGUGUCUCAAUUGUCAGCAGGUGAAAUAUGAGCAUCAGAUACUGGGUGGCUUGCUUUAGCAGAUGGAUAUUCCCAAGUGGAAGUGGGAGAGGAUCACUAUGGACUUUGUUGUUGGACUUCCACAGACUAUGAGGAAGUUCGAUGCUAUUUGGGUGAUUGUGGAUCCCCUGACCAAGUCCGCGCACUUCAUUCCUGUGUGUACUACUUAUUCUUCAGAGCGGUUGGCAGAGAUCUAUAUUCAGGAGAUUGUUUGGUUGCAUGGUGUCCCAGUUUCCAUCAUUUCAGAUAGGGGCACUCAGUUCACAUCGUAGUUUUGGAGGUCUGUGCAGUGAGAGUUGGGUACUCAAGUUGAGUUGAGCACAAUUUUUCACCCUCAGACGGACGGACAGUACGAGCACACCAUUCAGAUAUUGGAGAACAUGUUGCGUGCUUGUGUCAUUUAUUUCGGAGUUCAUGGGAUCAGUUUCUACCACUUGCUGAGUUUACUUAUAACAACAGCUACCAGUUGAGUAUUCAGAUGGCUCCGUAUGAGACUUUGUAUGGGAGGCGGUGUAGAUCUCCAGCUGGUUGGUUCGAGCCCGGUAAGGCUAGGCUAUUUGGGACAGACAUGGUGCAGGAUGCUUUAGAAAAGGUGAAGGUAAUUCGGGAGAGGCUUCGUACCGCACAGUCGAUGCAAAAGAGUUAUGCUGAUAGGAAGGUUCGAGAUGUGUCCUACAUGGUUGGCGAGAAGGUUCUGUUGAAUGUUUCACCCAUGAAGGGUGUUAUGAGAUUGGGAAGAAAGGGAAAUUGAGUCUUUGAUUCAUUGGGCCUUUGAGGUGCUUCGAAGGAUUGGGGAAGUGGCUUAUGAGCUUGCUUUGCCACCUAGCUUGUCGAGUGUGCAUCCGAUAUUUCAUGUUUCUAUGCUCCGAAAGUAUAUUGGGGAUCCGUCUCAUGUUAUGGAUUUUAGCACGGUCCAGUUGGAUGAUGAUUUGACCUAUGAUGUGGAGCCAGUAGCUAUUUUGGGUCGUCAAGUUCGAAAGUUAAGGUCAAAGGAUAUAGCUUUAGUAAAAGUGCAGUGGAGAGGUCAACCCAUGGAUGAGGCUACCUGGGAGACCGAGUGGGAGAUGUAGAACAAAUAUCCUCACCUGUUUGAGGCUUCAUGUAUGUUUUUUGACUCGUUCGAGGACGAACGUUUGUUUAAGUUGGGGAGGAUGUGACGACCCUACCAGUCCUCUCAUGAGUUACCACUUUGUUUCCCCCAUUUCUUCUUCUUUAUGCUUUGUUUAUCCAUGUUAUGUGGUACCAGGUUGGUCGGAUCGAGUUUGGAAAGGAUUUGGUAAGGUUUGAGACACUUAGUCUGUUUAGAGUGAGUAUAAGUUGGAAAAGUCAACUGGAUGUUAACUUGUGUGUUAAAGGGACCGAAUGUGAGUUCCGAUGGUUUGGUUAGCUUCGGGAGGUGAUUUGUUACUUUGGAGUGUGACUGGAAUGAAUUUUGGAGGUUCGGAGUAGAUUUAGGCUUGAAUUGGCGAAAUCGGAUUUUUGGCGAUUUCCAGUUGAUAGGUGAUAUUUUGAUAUAAGAGUCGGAAUGGAAUUCCGAGAGUUGUAGUAGUUCCGUUAUGUCAUUUGGAACGUGUGUGCAAAAUUUCAGGUCAUUCGAACGUGGUUUGGUUGGGUUUUUGAUCAAAAGCGGAAUUUAGAAGUUUUUGGAAAAUUAUGCUUAAAUCCGAUGUGUUUUGGUCGAUUUGAUAUUGUUGGAGUUGUUUUGAAGAUUGGUACAAGUUUGAAUAAGGUUUUGGGAUAUGUUGGUGCCUUUGGUUGAGGUCCCGGGGGCCCCGGGUCAGUUUUGGAGGGUUGAACGGACCAUUUUGAGUUAAAGAAAAGUUGCAGAUUUCUGUUCAGCUGUUGCAGGUAUUUUACUCUUCGCGUUCGCGAGUGGACCCUCGCGUUCGCGGAGAGUCAGUUGAGGAAGGUGGAAUUUAGGCCUUCGCAUUUGCAAGGAUGGCUAUGCAUUCGCGAAGGGCUAAGUGUUUGUGCAUCGCGUUCGCGGGGUAGUGUCGCAUUCGCGUAGAAAAAAAUGAGCGGUUGAGCUUCAGUGGAUUUAAUGCAUCACGUUCGCGAUAGGUGGAACACGAUCGCGAAGGCCUAUGUGAGUAAAGCAUCGUGUUCACGAUCGCGAUCGCGAAAGAAGAAUUUGGUCAAGGUUAUUUUUGUGCUUCGCGAAUGUGAGGCUUUGACCGCGCUCUCAAAGAAGGAUUUUUAGGCCUGGGCAGAAGGUUUAAAAGGACGUCUUGUCCGCGAAUGUGGGGUUUAUUUCUUCAAUUGUAGGUUGUUUUUGGAGCUAAUUGAAGGAUAUUGAAGAGUGAUUCAAGGGGAACCACUUGGAGGUAAGAAUUUUGGACUUAAAGCUCGAUUCUAUUAUGAAAUCUACAUAAUAAAUCAUAGAAUCUAAGCCUAAAUUGAGGAAUUAAGGCUUAAGAUUAAGAGACUUUAAAUGAGAAUUUGAGGGGACAUUUGGACUCCAAUUUGAGUGUUCUUGGUAUGUAUGGACUCGUGGGAGGAUAAGGAUUUUGUUGAUGUAAUUUUUAUCGAGUUUCGAGACGUGGGCCCGGGGGUCGGGUUUGGCCAAUUUCGGAAUUUUGGUAUUAUUUGAUUGUUUUCGCUUGAGCUUCGUUCCCUUAGCAUAUUUUAACGCCAUGAUUCUGAUUUUGGAUAGAUUCGACGUGAGUUGAGGCCUAUUCGAGGGGCAAAGGCGUCGCAGAGUAGUAUUUUCACCAGUUUGAGGUAAGUAGCCAUUGUAAAUCUGUAACUGAGGGUACAAACCCCGGUAUUUGACUUGUUUUGAUAAAUGUGGUGAUGCACAUUCUAGAUGACGAGCGUGUGGGCGUGCAUCGAUAGGGAUCGUGACUUGGUUUAUCCCAUAACGACUAUUGAGCCGUGUAUGUUUUUUUUGUAUUAUGGGCUGUAUGCCAUGUUUGGGACCUUGUGCCGACCUGUUGAGACUCUUAGGGGCAUUUUUACUGUUUUUCCUUACUUUUCUUGUUGGAAGCAUAUCCUCAGUCAUGUUUUACCUAUUUAAUUUUUUAAAACUGGUUUUAUCACCCUACUUCUAAUUGUGAGGACUGUUUGGGCUGAGUUCCCUAAUUUCUAUUGUUGUGCUCGAGAGGCUGCGAGGUUAAUAGUGAGGAUAUUAUAUGUAUAUAUUAUGGAUCGGGCUGCACGCCACAACGAUAUAUAUAUUGGAUCGGGCUACACGUCGUAGCGAUAUAUUUAUUGGAUCGGGCUAUGCGCCUCAGCGAUAUGUAUUGGAUCGGGCUGCGCGCCGCAACGAUAUGAUGCUUGGGUUGUAGGAGCCCCUCCGGAGUCUGUACACCCCCAGUGAGCAUAGUCGACUAUAAGAUACGGAUCGGGCUGCACGCCGUAGCGGUUACUAUGAUUUCUAUUAUUAUGAGAUACUAAUGAGCCUGAAUGCUGAGAGUGAGUCACGAGUGGCUGAGAGGCUGCCCGAGAGGCCAUGUUCUGAGUGAUACCUUGCCCAAGGGACCCAGUUAUGAUAUUUUCAUUGAUUUCACUCUUCUUUUAUAAAUAUCCUCUAUUGGAAAAAUUGCUAAGUAUAUGAUUUUAUGUUUUUAAAUUGAAGUUGAUAAUUUUAUGACGAAAUAGGUUUUAAACUGUGAAAUGGAUCUGUUAUCCUGUUGUUUAUUCUGUUAUAUGAUUUUUAACUACUCGUCACUACUUUUAGACCUUAUUUACUUUUGUUACUUACUGAGUUGGUGUAGAUCCAGGUGCCCGAGUGGCAGAGUGAGGGUCCUCAGCUGAUCCAGAGGUUGCCGAAGAUUUCAAGGUAGCUGCAUGGCGUCCACAACCCUGUUUUCUCCUUCUUAUCUUGUUCUUUUCCGCAUUUUUAUAGACUUUUGUUGUAUCAGACAGUCAGUUAUGUAGUAGAGGCUCUAGACUCGUGACACCAGAUGUUUGGGGCUGUGUAGUUUUCAUGUUUAUUUGACUUCCGCAUAUGUAAUUAUGUUUUAUGUGCUUAUUUUGGAAAUUUGGUAUUUAAACUUGUGUUAGAAAAUGGUUUUAUAAAAGUAAAUUGUUGUAGUUAAUGGUUUGGGUUGGCUUGCCUAGUAUUGUGAUAGACGCCAUUACGACCAGGUAUUUGGGGUCGUGACAAAGACCAACCUGAUGCAUUUUAUGUGCUACCUAUGCAUUUAAUUUUUUUUGGAUUGCAUAUUUACUGGCUUCUAGAUUAAGUAAGGAAAACCAAAGGAAAUACCAAGUUGAUGUAUGAGAGAGAAUUUCACCCAUUUCCCAAAAAUGGUGCCCAAAAUGUCCCGAAACUCUGCCGAAUAUUUGAAAAAAAAAAGAGAAGAAAAAGAUUCCUUGAAAAAAAGAAGAGUUUCAUUAAAAGAGAAGAGUUAGUCCAAAAUGGUUUUUGUUUUUUUUCCUUUUCAUGUCAAAACUGGCCGAACUACGCGGGUUUGAUUCUCACCGGACGUGGGAUACGUAGGCAACCCUCAUCGGGUUCAGCCCCGCUUUUUGAAAAUUUUGAAAAAAAACAUAUGUAGUGUUGUCAUUUUGUCGUAAAUAAAGUGGGUGAUGCCAUUUUGUCUAAAUAGCCGAAUGUCCCAGCGGGACGCCGAAAGGUUGCUUUGCAAAAAAAUCCACCGACGGUUUCUUUGUUAAUUUUGGCCAUUAGCGAAUACAACCCUAAGAACUUCCAUUCCGAAGCAAUUAAAGGCCGUAUUCGCAAAAGUAGCCCUGAUUUAUUUAAUUCUUUUUGCAAAAAAUAACCUUUUGUCAGUUUUCAAAUAAGAUUGACUUUGUCUUUAAACCAAUCGCCUUAAUCUAAAUGUGCAGAAUGAGCACGAGUUAUAAUUUAUCAAUGAAGGUCAUGUCCAUGAUUCCAUUGGAUCUGCUCAUGUGGUGGGAAGAUUUGGGUAAAAAAGGACGAGAUGUGAUCAACCUUUAUUUGGGAGGGCUCACCGGAUUGAUGAAGAUCAAGCCUAGAGGAGACAUAAUAAGGGCACUUGUAAUAUUUUGGGACCCAGCUCACAACGUCUUACGUUUCUCAUAUUUCUUCUCAGAUUUUGAACUCACACCCACCUUGGAAGAGUUCGCAAGUUAUAUGGGAAGUACUGAAGGUCCAAGACAUAAGUACCUGGUCAUUCCAAGGGCCAUUACCCCUCACAAGUUCAUGGAUUUGCUAAAGAAAAGCAGGGGGUCCAGUAAACAGAUUUGGUGGUCGGUUUUUCCACUCUACGCUUCAUAUACCAGAGGUACCGGCAUGCAGGAGGAUUUGACAACCCAGAAAGUAGGGUUUGUAGCAAAGGGAACCGAGCAAAAUGGGAUGAGCAUAGGCGUUUCGCUUUCAUGGUAGCUUUCUUAGGUCUCCUGGUGUUUCCCCGAAAGGAUGGGAAUAUGGAUCUGCGGGUAGCUGCAGUCGUCAAUGUCUUGAUUACCAACGCCAAGAGUACUCUCUCCCCUAUGAUAGUUGUUUACCGUGAAAAAUGGUAACAAUAAUUAAAUUUGUAAAUGAGAUUCUAAAAAUACGUGAUCUAUUCCCGAGCUAGUUGUUAGAGCAGUUGGUGCUAAUGAUAUGGAAUCUAAUGAUGAAAAGCAAUCUAAAGCGAGAUAGUAAUAGAACCAUAGGGCCUGCUGCCCGGGUAUAGGUCUGAUCGAUGAAGGACCUCGGGGUCGACGUCGGGGUCGAGCUCGAGCUAUCGGGGACAGUCGGGGAUGGGAUAACAGUUGAAUGUAUAAUUAAACAAGGCUCUUUGUGGCCAAUAUUAAGGCAUACGAUGAAGAACGAGUAAGAAAACGAUGAAUAUCGAGGUGGCCUCGGGCCAGUGAGAACGAACAAGUUAGAAAGAAAAAAGAGAGAGAGAGAGAGAGAGAGAUUAUUGUACUUGUGGAGAAAUGGAGCAACCUCAGUCCCUUACAAGGUAGGGUGAGUCCCUUUUAUAUAGGAGGGAGGACUGGGUUACAAGUAUGUGGAGAUAAAUUGCAAAGUAUGGAGAUGGGAUGGCUUGACGUGAUGCCUUAACAUAGGCUCUGGAUAGGUCGGCCCUAUCAGACUUAGUCGUGUGCCUUGGGAGCUUCCACCUCUGUCCGGAUUCUGUCUCCGUUUCUUUUGAGUCGGGCCUCGUCGAGCCCCGAGGUCAGGAACUCGGUCGUGGCCUCCCUUCCUCGGAGCCCCGAGGCAUGCUUCCGGAAUGACUCGACAGCGAGAAAUCAAGUCUUCUGAUUUUGCCGCGUACAGAUAGUCUCCGCGUUUCCCAUAAUGUAGUGAUGGGAAAUGAUUCUGACACUCGACUCCUCGAGCUUCUUCGGUGAUGCCAUCAAUGAUGCGACUCCUGGCAUGAGCUUUGUGGCAACCGGACAUCCACGAGCUCGUGCUUUUCGACUUCAUUCAUUGUACUCCUGAUUCUCGCUUCCCAAGGUGAAGGUACCGCCGCGGGUUUGGUUUUCCAUGGAUGCAUUAACUGCGCCCGUCGGUCAGUCUUCCAAAGCCUAGAUGACCAUGUCGUAAUCCCCUAUAAAUGGGGGUGCCUUGGCUUUGCUUUUCCUAUCCCGGUGCCUCCAUUGGUUUGCUUGCCUAUUUCUUCUUAUCACCUUCUUUCACCCUUGAACAUCAUGACAGGGCUCAUGACCUUAAGGCCGUUUGGAGGAGUUUCCUUAGACUGUGUUGUGGCCUUCUGCCGGGGCUUCCCUUUGUCGAGCAUAACCAUUCUGCGUCACUACUGCUGUGGCUAUUAAUAUGUUCACUGUGGUUGCUGCUGUUGGGCCGAGGUGAUGAUGGAUGGGGAGUCGAUUUCCUCCUCAUGUAGACAUCCGUUCGAAUUAUGCACUGCUGCUCAAAAGGGGGCUCGGACUAUACAACGCUGCUCACCUUCAUACCCCGGCUCGGUGUAGUGUUUUACUCCGAGUUGGGGGCUUGCACAACUAGACGUUCCAUGAAGUGGACUCUAAGUAGUUGUUCAAGCGGGACCGAGGAUUGUUUGGUCCGUUGUCUCUCUCAGGUUCCCUUGGCUAAAUAGGGUCCUCGAUCUUCGGAGAGCUUUGGCAUUUUUUCAUCCCUCCCUGCCACUCACCUUGCCCCUUGGGGAUAUCAGUGUGGAAGGUUGGGAUGAAACUUUCGAGUAUGCGCAUCCAGAGGCACAUGUUGUGGACCUUUGAAGGUGGGCCGAUCUUCGGGCUUUCACCUUGAAUGUGCAUCUCUUCGUCUCUUCCUUUAGGCGUACAGAUCCUCUGUAGGCUUUUGUAAUUGUAUGUAACGAGGGCUGCUUGUACGCAAAUUUUAUGAAUAAGAAUAUACUUUACUGACUUUUGUUUUCCGCACAAUUGUAUGCUUUCAUACCCUUCGAGGCCCUUUGAAUACCUUCUUUUAUUUUCUGACUGCUGAUAUCUGACUUGGGCGCGGGCAUUCUUUUCGAUCUUUUACUGAUUGGCGCGGCUCUCUUUCAAACCCGUCGUCGUACUUUGGACAAAUCCUAGAUUGAUCUGAUAGGCCCGGGCUAUCGAGGCCCUCCGAGUUGUAUGGAGAUUAUACGUCAAAUCCCGAAAUCUUCGGGAACGUUAUCCUGAAUGAAGGUCAACUUCGGAUACACGGGGGUCCCUUUUGAUCCUGAUGUAGAUAGCCCCUUUAAAACAUAUAUGAUAGAAUUCUACUGAGGAGUUGUCUGUACUCAGGCUCUGCCUCGGACCCUCGUGGAGCUUUCGUGAUUGGAGCUUCCCGUGCUUAUUCCUCUCUUUCAAGAGGGGGGAAUCAUGAGACCAGGUACCUGUCUCGCGUCGAGCGAUGGUGUUGAAAGCUUCCCGAAGUCCAGCUUCUUUGGGUCGGGGAUCCCUGAGAUAGAAUGUUAUCUCAGGUUUGGAGAUAGUAUGGACGGCUCCUCGAAUCUUGACUUCUCGUUGAAGGAUGCUUCCUGGAUUGGGUGCUGACCCGUCGAUCCGUAUCGAGGUUGUUGACUUCCCGAGACUCGCCUCGGGUAGGCGAGUCGUCGCUGCUCCUUGCAUAUAUGUGGGGCAGCUUCGGCUUCUUCGCAAAACCACACUAUUUUGUAUAGCUGCCCUUCCGCUUUGGCAUAGGGUUCCCCAUUUCUUCAGGUGCAAAAAAACAUUGGUGCACGUUCUUGCUUUGAUCUUUUAGUUUUACCACAGUUAUGGUGAGCACUUCUAGGACGGCCUGUCAGGAAGUAGAGAGUGCUGCUCCUGGUGCCCAGGAUCUGUUAGGGUUCGUUCCGAAGACCGUUGCUUUGGUAAAGGAGGAACAUCUGGAGAUAGUGAGGAGAUACUGCGGGUGGAGCGAGGGGAUAAUACUUCAGGUGCUUUCCCCAGAUGAGAGUAUUACGGACUCCACUGAUAGAUUCUUGAGCGUACACCUAUACCUUUUUGCAUUUGGCCCCCCUGAUAGAGUUGUGCUUGAUUUUUGCCUAAAGUAUCGGGUUACUCUGGCAUAGAUACAUCCAUAAUUGUGGCGAGUGGUGUUGAUUAUGAGGUUCUUUGCGGAGAAGGCUGAGCUUGAGUUCAUGCUUGAUAACCUCAUUAGGCUAUACCAGCCCUUUUAUCAUCGAGGCCUGCUAACUAUAAGGUGUCGUUCGUCCAUGCCCUUUGUUGUUGACGAUGAAGAAGAUGGAGAUCGAGAGUGGGCCAGCUGGUUUAUCGGGGUCCGAAUGGCUGACAUUAUCCCUGCGGGGCUUUUUCCAUUUCCCAAAAGGUGGAAUCAUGCACGUGAGUGGGGCAUCUGCCGCUUUUUCAGGUUUUGCCGUAUAGCAAAAAUCAGUUUAGUAAUAAUGUUGUCUCUUUUGGCUAUUAAUAUGUUCACUGUGGCUGCUGCUGUUGGGCCGAGGUGAUGAUGGAUGGGGAGUCGGUUUCCUCCUCAUGUAGACAUCCGUUCGAAUUAUGCAUCGCUGCUCAAAAGGGGGCUCGGACUAUACAACCAUGCUCACCUUCAUACCUCGGCUCGACGUAGUGUUCAGCUCCGAGUUUGGGGUUUGCACGGCUAGACGUUCCAUGAAGUGGAAUCUAAGUAGCUGUGCAAGCGGGACCGAGGAUUGUUCGGUGCAUUGUCUCUCUCAGGUUCCCUUGGCUAAAUAGGGUCCUCGAGCUUCGGAGAGCUUUGGCAUUUUUCAUCCUUCCCUGCCACUCACCUUGCCCCUUGGGGAUAUCAGUGUGGAAGGUUGGGAUGAAACUUUCGAGUAUGCGCAUCCGGAGGCACAUAUUGUGGACCUUUGAAGGUGGGACGAUCUUCGGGCUUUUCACCUUGCAUGUGCAUCUCCCCGUCUCUUCCUUUAGGCGUAGAGAUCCUCUGUAGGCUUUUGUAAUUGUAUGUAAUGACCCCUCGAGGGCUGCUUGUACGCAAAUUUUAUGAAUAAGAAUAUACUUUACUGACUUCUGUUUUCCUCACAUUUGUAUGCUUUCAUACCCUUCGAGGCCCUUUGAAUACCUUCUUGUAUUUUCUGACUGCUGAUAUACGACUUGGGCGGUGGCAUUCUUUUUUUUUUUGCUGAUUGGCGCGGCUCUCUUUCUAACCCGUCGUCGUACUUUGGACCAAUCCUAGAUUGAUCUGAUAGGCCCGGGCUAUCGAGGCCCUCCGAGUUGUAUGGAGAUUAUGACUCAAAUCUUGAAAUCUUCAGGAAUGAUAUCCUGAAUGAAGGUCAGCUUCGGGUACGCGGGGGUCCCUUUUGAUCCUGAUGUAGAUAGCCCCUUUAAAACAUAUAGGAUAGAAUUCUACUGAGGAGUUGUCUGUACUCAGGCUCUGCCUAGGACCCUCGUGGAGCUUUCGUGAUUGGAGAUUCCCGUGUUUAUCCCUCUCUUUCAAGAGGGGGGAAUCAUGAGACCAGGUACAUGUCUCGCGUCGAGCGAUGGCGUCGAAAGCUUCCCGAAGUCCAGCUUCUUUGGGUCGGGGAUUCCUGAGAUAGAAUGUUAUCUCAGGUUUGGAGAUAGUACUCGAAUCUUGACUUCUCGUUGAAGGAUGCUUCCUAGAUUGGGUGCCGACUCGUCAAUCCGUAUCGAGGUUGUCGGCUUCCCAAGGCUCUCCUCGGGUAAGCGAGUCGUCGCUGCUCCUUGCAUAUAUGUGGGGCAGCUUUGACUUCUUCGCAAAACCACACUAUUUUUUAUAGCUGCCCUUCCCAUUUGGCAUAGGGUUACCCAUUUCUUUAGGUGCAAAAAACAUUGGUGCACGUUCUUGCUUUGAUCUGUUAGUUUUACCACAGUCAUGGUGAGCACUUCUAGGCCGGCUUGUCAGGAAGUAGAGAGUGCUGCUCCUGGCACCCAGGAUCUGUUGGGGUUCGUUCCGAAGAUUGUUGCUUCGGUAAAGGACGAACAUCUGGAGAUAGUGAGGAGAUACUGCGGGUGGAGCGAGGGGAUAAUACUGCAGGUGCUUUCCCUAGAUGAGAGUAUUACGGACUCCACUAAUGGUUUCUUCUGCAUACACCUAUACCCUUUUGCAUUUGGCCGCCCUGAUAGAGUUGUGCUUGAUUUUUGCCUAAAGUAUCGGGUUACUCUGGCACAGAUACAUCCAUCAUUUUGGCGAGUGGUGUUGAUUAUGAGGUUCUUUGCGGAGAAGGCUGAGCUCGAGUUCACGCUUGAUCACCUCGUUAGGCUAUACCGACCCUUUUAUCAUCGAGGCCUGCUAACUCUUAGGUGUAGUUCGUCCAUUCCCUUUGUUGUUGAUGACGAAGAAGAUGGAGAUCGAGAGUAGGCUAGCUGGUUUAUCUAGGUUCGGACGGCUGACAUUAUCCCUGUGAGGCUUUUUCAUCUUCCCGAAAGGUGGAAUCAUGCAUGUGAGUGGGGCAUCUGGUGCUUUUUCAGUUUUUUCCUUAUAGGAAAAAUCAGUUGAGUAAUAAUAUUGUCUCCCUUGUUGCAGCAACUUCGUGGAUGCCGGGCGAAGUUCUUGACUUUCUCGACUGGGUUCGGAGGCUGGUGACCCAUUUGACCUGCGACGAGCGCAGGUGGAGAGCUGUAUUUCGCACCAUAUGGGGAGUGAAAUACCAAGGUAUGUGCAUAUGUUGCCUUUUCCUUGGCCUUCGUAUAUUCGGGGUAACAUUUUCCCCUUUUAUUUGUACUUUAUUCACCAUUCACAGACAUCAGGCGGUUCCUUGGGGUGAGGCAGUGUUCUUCCGAAGAGGGGAAGGAGUCGUCGGCCUCCGAGCCGAGGGGUGAUGGCGAUAAGGUGGAUCGGCACCCGCGGUGUGAUGGAGCUUUUAGUGGCGCUGGGCGGGACUAUAUCUUUGAAGAGAGGGCAUCGUCCGAGCCUGAUGUUCCCGGAGUAUCAGAUUCCUGGCCGAUGGUUCCUCCGAGUGAAUGUGCUCUGCCUGAGGUUGGUUCUCCUGGGGCCAGAGAGGCAAGAUCAACGGGAGUGUGUUCUGACUUAGAGGAAUUCUGUCGGCUUCUCUUCGAGGUGAGUUUAGGCACGUUUUUUCCCGUAUGUCACGCCUUCCUCCCUUUAUUGAGUUUUCCUUGCGUAGGCCUAUGAUGGGCUUAUGCCAGAGCUGCUCCGUCAAGGGGCCAGGCUCCAGAAAAUCCUGAACGAGGGCGAGUCCCUUAGGCUUCUUAGCGAGGAGAAGGAGGCUGAGUUGGUGCAUUGGCGAUAUGAGGUGUAUCGGAGCUCAAACUAUGAGAGCUAUUUGGUGGAGCAGGUAACUUCCUAUAGUACACACUUUACUCCUUUCUAACCUUAGGGCUAACCCCUUUUGUUGUAUCAGGUGCAGAAAAAGGCGGAGGCCUUGGAGUACCUCAAAGGCGACGUCAACCGCGCCAGAGUUGCUUGUGGGGAGCUAAGGGCUCAAGUGCAGGCUCGAGCUUUGGAGGAGUUAAGUGCCUCGGCCAAGGUCCCUGCCUUCGAGGCCCAACUCCGCUUGACUCAUGAUAAUGCCAAAGUUCAAGCGGACAUGAUUGGGAAACUCGAAUCUAAUCUCUCGAAGAUCAGAGCUAAGAUAAUUGAUGCCCGGGUUGAAGCAGCGCUAAGCCGGACCAAGGUUGAUCAGGAGAUGGCAAUUCGUAUGAAGGAUGCUGCUGAUGCCCAAGUUGAGCUGAAGCGAGCCCUCGACCGGGAGAAGAGGAUCGAGGAGUAUGUUCAUUGUAGAUCCUAGAGAGAGGUACUCGAGGUGGUCGGUGCGCGGGGCUUCGUUCACUCGAAAGAAUUGGCUCGAGCAAGGGCAGAUGAGCACGACGCUCGGUCACUUAUCACUGACAUAGCGGAGGGAAAAAUUUACAAGUUGUAGCCCUUUAGUGUGGAGCGUAGAUUUCGCCACUUUGUCGGUUUGUUUAUGAUAUAUGUAGAGCAUGCUUGUAGAUAGAGAACGCGCCUUUUUCGCGUAUAUAAUAUAUAGGAAGAAACUUGAAACUUUAUUUCUUCUGUACCUUUUUUACUAUUAUUGCUUUCAACCGAGCAAGUUGGUGUUUGGCGAGAUCCCCAGGGGCUCUUACAAGUUGGUCCUGAAUUAAUCGAACAGGCCCAGGGGCUCUUACAUGCGAUCCUUGGCGCGAGCAGGUGCUGGGGCUCCGUGUUUGUCCUGGCUGUUUAGGCUUUGUCUCCCAGUCGGUCUUCAACUCGAGCCUUCUCGCCCUUGAAUCUUUUAUGCCUGUGUAGGCAGGUAGUGUUUGUUUUUGUUUCUUGCCCUUGGGCAUUUGCCGUUUCGACUAUUUUGGGUCCAGUCUCCGAAUCGUAUUUUGACUCGAGCUUCAAUUGACCCUCGAGCUUUUUCCUGUCUGCAUGGGCGGAUGAUGAUGGCCUUUUGUGCUUCGGGCUGAUGCGAUCUUACAGGCGCGUAGCCCAGAAACUUGCUCGGCUGGCGACAGUGACAUUUAUGCCGUGCUCUUAGGCAUGCUAUAAUUUAACUGUUUUAGGUCCAAUCUCCGAGUCGCGUUGCGAUUCGAGCUAUAAUUGACCCUUAAGUUCUUUCGUGCCCGCAUAGGCGGACGACGAUGUCCUUUUGUGUUUCGGCCCGAAGUGAACUUACAGGUGCUUGGCUUGGGGGCUCACUGAUGGUGGCAUUUAUGUCGUGCCCUUAGGCAUGUUGUAAUUUAACUGUUUCGGGUCCAGUCUCCGAGUCGCGCUGCGAUUCAAGUUUUAAUUGACCCUUAAGUUCUUUACUGCCCGCAUAGGCGGAUGACGAUGGCCUUUUUUGUUGUUUGGUCAUAGAUACCUUUUAAUACAUGGCGGUAGGCUUUCUUAGUUAACUAUUUUGGAUCUGGUCUCCGAAUCGGGUUACGAUUCGAGCUCACUUUAAUCCUCAAGUUGUCAAUUUUUGGCUGGUGAAAAUGGCUCUUACGCUGUUUGGUCGUAGAGACCUUUUAAUCUGUGGCCCGUAGUCUUUCUUAGCUGGCGACAAUGGCUCUUACGGUGUCUUUGCCUGUGGGCUUUUUGUAGGCUUUGUUUUCCGCUCGUUAAGGCCUUUUGGAAUAUUUUUGCCUGACCCAUCGUCGGUUUCGAAUAACCUCGAUUUCAAGUCAUUUUCGGCGAUGUUUCCAGCACAUUGAAAGGUUCAUAGCUCGUAGGUCGAGUAGAUCGACGCUCUUGCGAUUUGGAGCCGACAUGGUCGGAGCUCAUUUUUUCCUGUUGAGGGAAGCCUGUUUUAACCUGUUCUUUCCGAAGUAUAUUCGGAGUAGUGGCCUGCGAUUUUAGCGGCAGUCAAGCGUCCCCGAGUCGCGUUAUUUUGGCAGUAUCAGUCGUAUUGACCUUAGUCAUGUGUGUUUGUCCGUAGCCAUUUUUGAUCCAGAGUGAUAGUUUAGGCAUUUACACCGAGGGUAUGCCCUUUAGGGAUUCUUACAAAUGCGACGUAUAGCCUAAACUUCAGGAUUUUCAUGCCUGUUGAGGUCUUACAGUUUGUCAUGCCUGUUGAGGUCUUAUAGUUUGUCAUGCUUGUUGAGGUCUUAUAGUUUGUAUAAUGUAUAAUAGAUUUGGUUUUCUGGCUGCCCGUUAGGGGUCUUAUAGUUUCAGGUUUUCUGGCGUAUGGCAAUUAAUGGCAGUCUCCGAGUCAUCGAGUUUGUUUAAGCUUGAAGACAGCUUCUCAUGAGCUCAGAGUUGCCUUGUAGGGGCUUCUUGAGCCCUAAGUUCCGACCCUGGGGUCGUGCGAGUGUUGAAUUGCAGAUGCUAAGUCUCCGAGUAUCUCGGGACGCAUUCGGCGGAGAGGCCCUUGCCACGAGUAUGUUGAAAUCCCCUUUUCCGAAAUAUGAAAUGCCGAAAAGGUAUUCUUUAUUGUUUGGCAUGAAUAUUGUUGUAAAUACACGUGGUCUCGUUGUUGUGAGCUUGGCCCGUAUAGGUACGACUCUUCGGACCAUCUAAUUUGAAACUCAGUCUGCUAUUUUCGAUCCUUCUGAGGGGAUGGUGCCCUUAAGAGAAGAUCAUCGCUCGUCGUCCGAUUGUAGAAGAAGGCCUGUGAUCUUGUCGGAACCUGCUGGUAGGACCCUCUUUGGGGAUACGCUACUCCACUAAUAAUCUUGCUGGAAGGACCCUCUUCGGGUCUGAAGUUCGAUCAAGGGAAGAGAGCACUGCGGGCCCUACUAAGGCCUCAGAUCUCCGGGUGGAGUUAGAACUUCCAAAUGCCCCGACUGCCUGCCUGCAUAUAGGUUAGUGAAAAAAUAAUGAAGGAGUGAAGUAGUUCUUCCUCACCGCAGGAUGUGUAGGUAACACUUCGAGAUUCGGUAUGUUUCUGUCGUUCCAAGGCGCGAGCCCUAAUACAGCCUUCUGUUGUGUUCAACCUGGCUUGGCCGUAGGUGCAGUUCUGCUUACCCUUUGAUCCCUAUGAGGUCAGAGGAAUUGAUGCCGGCGAUGCAUUAUGUGGUGAGGAAUUUUCUCUCGUCGCGUGUUGCCCCUUGACGCCUUAUUUCCAUCCCUCCCUUUGCGUGGGAUUUCAUCUUGUCAGCAAAGCUGGGUUGAUGCCAUCUCCGAGCAGUGUGCCAGAAGCUGUCUGAAUAGGACGCCCGUGCCUUGUGAGCUCAGCAUUUCAGUCCGGGCUUAGACGGGCUGUAUGAAGGGAGCGAUCAUCCUAAUUGUUGUGGUGAUCGGUGUCUGGAUUCCGUCAAAGAUUCGAGACGUGGGAGUGACUUGGUUUGUCGGUCCGGACUGUUCAAUUGAUUUUGGUCCGACAUUGUUGGUGUACUUGAUCGAAUCUCCUGAACUCAGGAACAUACAUUUUAUUGAAAAUAGAUUAAACGAGGAGGAGGGUUACCAAUAUGUCAAUUUGAGACCGAAGCGAGGUCUCUAUGUCCUUUUCUCUGGAUGUAAGGGUGCCCUUUGGAAUAUUUCCCUGGACCCGUUUUUCCCUGGAGACAAAGAUUUUCGCUUUCCAUUUCAUGAGUUCUCGGGGGGUGUCUCCGCCCCUUCACUGUCGUGGUAAUAUGUCGUGGCUUGUCUACUUCAUUCUUCCCGAUUGUUUUCCUCCCUUGGGGAUGGAUUCAAGUCUGACCACUCGAAGAUACUUGGUGGUGAUUUUUUUUAAGUAGCACAGUUGUCGUCCCUCUGAGUUGGUGUCCGUUUUUGACCCCAUGGCCGCGCCCGCUCUGCAAUUCCCGCACCGGGUUGCGGUUCUUUUGAAGGGGUCUUGGUCGAAUAGGCCCGAGUCGUUUGGCGUCCCUGAUUUUGCUUAUGGUGAUCACGAUAUUUGGUAUAGCAAUGCUGAAAUCGUACUCAGCUAGGCAGGGUUCCCCUGCCGGUCGUGCCUUGUUGAAUCUGGUUCCACUGGAGAUUCCUCGAGGGUGUUGUCCUCCGGCUAUUUCCCUGUUGUUGCGAGCUAGGUUGCAUCUUGUACCGUUCCUCCUAUACGUGGCGCAUGGAUGGUACCUCCACCUGUUUUGCAUUUGUUUCUUUGUCGGGAGUCUGCUUGGAUGUACCGAGCCCAAGGGAGUUCCCUGGCGGUUGUCCACGGCCCUGCUUUGUGGCUGGUGCUGGGUGCAGGUAUCCGGCCAAGUCUCGACUGGGUACCUGAUCAAGCUUCGUCUGAAAUGUCCUGGAGUUGUCGGGCAUGCUUCGUUUGAGCUUUGAGUGAAAGCCUAUGUUGCCUAAUUAUCUGAAGUCGAGGUCGAUCUCACUCGUCCUCUCGGGGAACAAGGCGUGACCUCCUGCGGUAUUUCAUUCUCUCUUUGUUCGGCCUCCGAUGUAUCGGGCUCUUCUGCUACUGCUUCAAUGGCAUUUGAGUAUGCUUCUGCAGGGGAAUCUGCUGGUGUGGUGAGUGAGUAUAUGAGGUCAGUCGACAGGCUGCGGCGCCACAUCAUGGUUCCUUUCGAGAGUGUUUCUACGAGCUUCUCCAGCAAGACGGGCUCGAACUUAUCGUCUUGAAUGUCGCUGCCUUUCUCCGCGCAUGCGUAAGCGGGGGUGCGCUCGUCGGGAUUCGAGAUCCUGUCGCACCUAGGGGGUUUCGGCGUUCCGGGUUGCCGUGAAGCGAGUUCCGGGACCACUUCCUCGGGAUACGAUUGUUGUAUGAAAUUCCACGAACCUUACUCGAUCCUUUUGAAAAGAUCUCCAAUCAUCCCCACUGCGGUACAGUCGGUUACCGAUCCGUUGUUUCUUGAUCUCUUGGGUACUCGUUCGGCAUGGGGAGAUGUUUUCGGCGCUACUACACAGGGAGUCUCCGGGUGACUUUGCAGCUGAGCGAUAGCCAACUGCUAUGCCUGCAACAUUUCAAAAAUAGCAUGAAGACUAACUUCCUGUUCUUCUCGGGCCGUGGUUUGUUGAGCUUCUUGUUGGUCGAUAUGUUGUAUGCUACCAUCGGUGUGCGAGGCUUCAUCAACUUGUUGUGCGUCCUAUGAAUCUGUAUCCGCUAAAAUCAGUCCUGGCAUGAUAUCAGGAUUCUGUGGAGGUGCUCCUGCAGCCGGAACAGCCACGACAUUUUCCCCAUGGUUUUUGAGGUUUUCGUUCUCGAUUCCGUUUACCAAGCCAGACAUUUUUACCUAAAAUCAAAGGAUAUUGGACAAGAAAAGUGUAAAAGGUAAUGUGUGUUUGUAUGAUGAUACUAGCAAUAAAAUAAUCGCUAUUAUUUUUAGCCCCACGGUUGUCGCCAAACUGUUUACCGUGAAAAUGAUAACAACAAUUAAAUUUGUAAACGGGAUUCUAAAAAUACGUUAUCUAUUCCGGAGCUAGUUGUUAGAGCUAUUAGUGCUAAUGAUAUGGAAUCUAAUGAUGAAAAGCAAGCUAAAGCGAGAUAGUAAUAGAACCGUAGGGCGUGCUGCCCAGGUAUAGGUCUGAUCGAUGAAGGACCUCGAGGUCGACGUCGGGGUCGAGAACGAGCUAUCGGGGACAGUCAGGAAUGGGAUAACAAUUGAAUGUAUAAUUAAACAAGGCUCUUUGUGGCCAAUAUUAAGGCAUAUGACGAAGAACAAGUAAGAACAUGAUGAAUAUCGAGGUGGCCUCGGGCCAGUGAGAACGAACAAGUUAGAAAGAAAUGAAAGAGAGAGAGAGAGAUAUUAUUGCACUUGUGGAGAAAUGGAGCAACCUCAGUCCCUUACAAGGUAGGGUGAGUCCCCUUUAUAUAGGAGGGGGGACUAGGUUACAAGUAUGUGGAGAUCAAUUGUAAAGUAUCGAGAUGGGAUGGCUUGACGUGAUGCCUUAACAUAGGCUCUGGAUAGGCCGACCCUGUCAGACUUAGCCGUGUGCCUUGGGAGCUUCCCUCUCUGUCCUGGCUUCAGUCUCUGUUUCCUCUGAGUUGGGCCUCGUUGAGCCCCGAGGUCGGGAACUCGGUCGUGGCCUCCCAUCCUCGGGGCCCCGAGGCAUGCUUCCAGAACGACUCGACAGCGAAAAAUCAAGUCUUCUAAUUUUGCCGCGUAUAAUAGUAUUUGAUAUAUACCGAGCUCUCACAGCUUGUAAAGCUGGGGUAGACUUUUUCGAAGGGUGCAAUUUGCUAUUACAAAUGUGGAUGAUUGAGCAUUUGUGUCAUCGCCCUCAAUAUCUGAGUUAUGGGUCCACGGAGAAAAGCUACAUUGAAGAGAUCGAUACAAGGAUCUCAGGAUUCAAAUUGCUAGAAGGGUUUGGAGAUUGGGUAUCCCACCUUCGCUCCAUCACUGCGAGGCAAAUAGUGUGGACAAUGGGUUGGCUUCCUGUUGAAGAAAUUGUGUAUAUGCCUACCACCGGUCCUUACCUCCUACUAAUGGGUCUUCGAGGCAUUCAGACUUACGCUCCAUACCGGGUGAUGAGAUAGUUGGGAAGAGGCUAGGUGACACACCCAGAUAAAGAUCUUAGUGUUUAUGCGGUUGAAGUCAGCUCCGACGGCCAAUUUCAUGAAGAAAUAGUUCGUCAUAAUUGGAAUGAGUGCCAGUAUUUGACAGCAAACACUCAAGUGUGUGACCUAUCUAGAGGCGAGAUCUCACCCGCCUAUCUUGCCUGGUAUAGAAGAAGAACACCGCAAGGGCCGAACCUGAAAGACCAACCAAAAAGCCUCACAUCUAGGAUUUGUUGAAGCGUCACAAGAAUAGUGGGCUUGGUUGGCCAAGGAGAAUGAGUGCAGGGCCACAAUAGGCAAAUUGGAAAAACAAGUCAGGGAUCUUCAAUUUGAGAAUGCUUUGCAAGCCGCCGCAGAUGAGGAUGAAAAGAAAAGGUUAGCCAAAGAAAAUGACGCCCUCCGAGCCCAAAUUCGGGAAAUAAAAAUAGCAGCCGAGAACCCUACCAGAAGUGUAAAAGAUGAAAAUCUUAAAAGUAACCUUAGGCAGAAAGUGGCUGAAUAUGAUUUUGAUCUGAAAAAGGCCGAGGGCGAACUAGCAAAGGCUCGAACAAAAUUGGCUAAGAAUUCGGAGGAACGAGCAUGCUUUGUUCAACAGUUAGAAGGAAAAUAUGACAAUGAAGCCAUGGGGUUGAAGAAAAAGAUCAACCUCCUUGAGAACGAAAUGACCAAGCAGGCAAGAGAUAUCAAAGCCGAAAGAGAACACUGCUAUGCCUUGAUGUCACAGCUUGAGAAAGACCUGCAACAGCUUCAAGAGCAAAAUCAGAUAGUUGAACAAGCUUUGGGGGCCAGAUCUCAGCAGAUCGGAUGGUUGCUACAAGAGAAGGGUAUUAUCAGGGAAAGGGUUAGGAGGAUUGCGGACUACAUUGUGAUGAAGUGCAACAAGUGUGAAGACAUGAACAGGUCUAUGUUCUUCUCUUCAGUUAUGAUUUUUGUCCGACAGAACAUGGAUGACUUGUUUUGCCUCCAAGAAGAUAUGGCGCAAAGGCCCGCAUCAAGGCCAACUAGAGCAGUAAUUGAAGCACUUAUGUAUUCAUGAUUUUCAUUCGAGUCUGUAUUUUUAUCUUUCUUCCAGAGUCUGUUAGUCCAUUUUUGAGUCUGUAUUUUUAUUUUUCUGUUGGAGUCUAUUAGUCCACCUUUUCGAGUCUGUUAGUUUUGAUUAAACUCUGUAGAAUAAGUCGUUGUAACCAUGAUGUUUUGCUUUUAUUUUAUGGAAAAAUUGAAAACCCAAAAAAUGUAUCUUUAUUUUAUUUUACACUUAUCCCCAGAACUACGCUUGGUUUGAUUCAUGCGGCAUCAUGAUACGUAGUCAAUCCCCAUAGGAUUCUAUCAUAACCAUGAAAUGUAAAGAAAAAGAGAGAGAAAAUAAGAAAAACUGUGGGAAAGAAAUAAUGGCAAAACAAGAGAGGGAAAAACAAGAGAAUAAAAGAAAAAAAAACAAGAACCAAGCAAAGAAAAGCAGGAAUGGAAAAGAGAGAGAAAGAAAUUGNNNNNNNNNNNNNNNNNNNNNNNNNNNNNNNNNNNNNNNNNNNNNNNNNNNNNNNNNNNNNNNNNNNNNNNNNNNNNNNNNNNNNNNNNNNNNNNNNNNNNNNNNNNNNNNNNNNNNNNNNNNNNNNNNNNNNNNNNNNNNNNNNNNNNNNNNNNNNNNNNNNNNNNNNNNNNNNNNNNNNNNNNNNNNNNNNNNNNNNNNNNNNNNNNNNNNNNNNNNNNNNNNNNNNNNNNNNNNNNNNNNNNNNNNNNNNNNNNUGUUAAGCUCUAAUCGCUUAAGAGUUUGCUUGUCGUCAUUCAGUCCAGGUAGGUGGUUAAUUUGUUCCGCAUUUUGGCAACUCACCCGUAUAACACCAGGUCCAAAGUCAAGUUGAUCAUGGGUGGCCAAAAACUUGAUGCAAGUGUUAUUGAUCCGUUAAGGGAGGGGGAAAAGUCUGAUGUUAAUUUGAAAGAGGAGAUACAUAAGUUGAAACACCAAAUGGCAGAGAUGUACCAGGCGUGGAUGAAAGGGCAUCCACCCCCAAAAUACCCCGCCAACCCUGCUUUAGUUCCGCCACUAGCUUAGUCCUAAGAACCUCUCAUUGUUGAUUCAUCUCCAAGCUUUCCUUAUUGACACCUCUACCAAGGCACCACUUCCCAAACCCCACAAGCACCACCACCUAAACCAAUCCCAUACCCCCCUCCGCCGGCCACCCCUGUUUUUGUGGCACCCCCACCCAUUACACUCCAUCGAUCCUCCAGUGAGCCCUUAUUCCAGACACAAGAUAACCAAUACUAUCCCCCUGAGCCUACUUUCAAGGCCUCAGAACAUUACUCCUACACUCCUCGUUUCGAACUCCCAGUUGAGACUGAGAAACCACCUAAAAACCAAGAACAGGAGGAGAUGUUCAGCAAGAUUAGAAGCCUGGAACAGUCAUUCAGAAACAUGCAGAGAUUGGGAGGCCAGGUGAGCGUAGCCUACUAAUAUUUGUGUCUAUUUCCCAAUGUUCAGUUGCAUGUGGGGUUUAAGAUGUCGAAGUUUGAUUUGUAUGAAGGGCACGGAGACCUGGUGGCCAAUUUGAGGGAAUUAUGCAGUAAAAUAAGAGGAGCUGGCGAGAAAGAUGAGCUGUUGAUGGAAUACUUUAGCCAGAGUCUGAGUGACGUGGCAUUGGAGUGGUACACUCGUCAGGAUCACAGCAGAUGGUAUACCUGGGAUGGUCUGGCCCAAGCAUUCGCUCGCCAUUUCCAAUACAACAUCGAGAUUGUUCCAGAUCGUUUGUCUUUGACUAAGAAUGAGAAGAAGCCUAGUGAAAGUUUCAGAGAAUAUGGUUUUCACUAGAGAGAACAAGUGGCAAGAGUUAACCCCCCGAUGGAGGAGGGCGAAAUGGUGGAAUACUUUCUGCAGGCUUUGGAGCCUACUUACUUUGGCCAUCUGAUAUCGGCCAUAGGAAAGUUUUUCAAAGAGGUAGUGAAGAUGGGUGACAUGGUGGAAGAAGGGCUUAAGUCAAGCAAAAUUAUUAGCUACUCAGCCAACAAAGCAACUAUCUAAGCCAUUCAAAACGGUACUUGGAGGAGUGAUCGGAAAGAAGAAGAAAGAAGAUGUGGCAAUAGUUGAAUCAGGAUCAUGGUUUGGACAUAGGGGCCUUUCACACCAUUAUACCCUACCUUGACCCCAUCACCGAACCUACACCCAACGCCCAUAUAAUCCACCCCAGCAUUACUUUCCAUCAGCAGAUUCUUAGAUUUCUAUCCACCAUGCCCAGACAUAUACUCAACCUCCUACCUACUCACAAUGGCGUGCCCCAGCCCCACAAAACACCCACCCAACUCCAAAAAAUGCUCACCUACCCCCAUGGGCCUACUGAAACCCUGUCGACCUAGGUUUUCGACCCAAUCCAUCGUUCCAAAAUGAGAGGUUGCAGAGAAAGAAAACUUUGACCCCGUUGGGGGAGUCUUAUGUCAGUUUAUUCCAUAAAUUGGGGCAGUUGGAUAUGCUGAGGCCAAUUGAGUCGAAAUUGCCAAACCCUCCUCCAAAAGAAUCUUGAUUAUUCCGUGAGCUAUGAAUAUUGUUCUGGUACUCCGGGGCAUGAUACGGAGAAGUGCUGGCACUUGAGAAAUGCUAUCCAGGAGCUCAUUGACACAAACCGGAUUGAGGUCCAAACUCCAAAAGCACCCAAUAUCAAUCAGAACCUAUUGCCAACCCAUGAGGGAACAAACAUGAUCUAUAUAGUACACAAGGGAGGGGGGGGGGAGCCCAAGAAGCCUUCACAGUCCGUCAUGAUGAUUCGAUAUAGUGAGGUCAAGUCAGUUAAUAAACCAACGGUUGAAGGAUCAGUGAACAAGUUGAGCAUGACAAACGGUGCACCAUCUGUGGUGGUUAAGAAAAGAUCCCUAAGUGAUGUUGUAGCAAAGCAAGAAAAGUCAAAAGUGGUCGUUCCAUGGUUGGCAAACAAGCCUAUCAUAAUUGUAGAGGGUGCCUGUACGGAUCCUGUCAUCAGCAAGCCUGUAACCCAGUUGCCGGUAAUCAACACCAAGGCUAUCCUAUGGAAAUAUGAACGGGUGAUAGUGACCUAUAAGGGAAAGGAAGUGAAACAAGAAGUCAAUGAGGCCUAGGGAUUAACUCGUUCGGGGAGAUGCUUUGCCCCGAAAGAGCUAAGGAAAGCUAAAACAUCCAGAGAUAAUCCAGUUCUAGUAAAGAAAGCAGUCACUGAAGAAGAGGCGGAGGAGUUUCUGAGAAAAAUGAAGGUACAAGAUUACUCCAUCGUGGAGCAGUUGAGAAAGACACCUGCUCAGAUUUCCUUGCUAUCAUUGCUAAUACAUUCAGACGAGCAUCGUCAGGCCUUUAUGAACAUCCUGAACGAAGCUCAUGUCCUCGACAAAUUUUCAGUGAACCAUCUAGAGAAGAUCGCCAAUAAAAUAUUUGAGGUGAACAGGGUCACCUUCUCUGAUGACGAACUACCUGUGGAAGGUACUAAACACAACAAAGCUCUCUAUCUUAUGGUAAAAUGUAAAGAUUCUGUGGUCACCAGGGUGUUAGUUGACAAUGGUUCCAGUGCAAACAUCUGCCCUCUCUCUACUCUGAACAAGUUGAAAGUUGAUGAUAAGAAGAUUCACAAAAACAACAUAUGUGUUUCGAGUUUUGACAGUGGAGGAAAAGACUCGUUUGGUGAUAUAGUGAUUGAAUUGACAAUAGGAACGGUGGAAUUCACCAUGGAGUUCCAGAUGCUGGACGUAGCCGUCUCUUACAAUUUGCUAUUAGGUCGACCUUAGAUACAUGCCGCCAAAGUAGUCCCGUCCACUUUGCACUAGAUGGUCAAGUUCGAGUGGGAUAGACAGGAGAUCGUCGUGCAUGGUGAAGAGAAUUUGUGUGCUCACAGUGAUGCCUUCGUCCCGUUCAUCAAGGCUAAAGAUGACAAAGGGCCCUAGGUCUAUCAAGUUUUUGAAACAGUGCCGGUCGAGAAGGUUCCAGAAGGGAAAUGUGUCCCAACUCCAAAGAUUUCCUCUGCAUCUGUCAUGGUCGCCUCUGAAAUGUUAAAAAAUGACUUCGUGCCCAGUAAAGGUCUGGGUGCAUCCUUGCAGGGUAUCAUACAACCAGUGUCCUUCCCGGAGAACUUGGGUACGUUCGGUCUUGGAUUCAAACCCAUAGCGGCAGAUGUGAAAAGGGCUAGAAGGUUGAAACAGAAGGCAUGGACACUUCCGAAGCCUAUCCCGUGUCUCUCCAAGUCUUUUCUCAAGCUAGGUGCCAGGAAAUGCCAGUGACGACAAUUCCAAGUUCUGUGGUUGACGUUGAUGAAGAUUUAAUUGAAAGGUUCCAGAGGUUAUUUGAUAAUGUGAACAUGGUAGAAGUUGAAGAAGGUUCUAGAAAAGCAAACGUGUAGUUCAUCCGGCCAAAUGUAAAGCUUAACAAUUGGAAGGCUACUCCUCUCCCUACUCGGAAGGAGUCUUGGUAGUUUGUUUUGUUUUCCUUUCUUUUGGGUCAUUCCAGGGUUGUGACCCAGAUUUUUAUUUUCUGCUUGUUGAUGAACAAACCUUGUUAUCCUUUAUUUUCAAUGAAAUGCAAUUUCCCUUUUCCAUCAUUUCUGAUAGCUCUUAUUUUUGUUUUCUUUUCUUCUUUGUACAGUUCUCUUUAUGCUGGUUUUAGUGACAUGACAUGCAUGAUUAAUCUUCAGCCAAGUCCUAAAAGUCAAUCUAAUUCUGAAAUAAUAAUCCAGGAAAUAGAGUGUGAUAAUGAAUAAGAAUAUGAUGAGGAUGAGGCCUUUGAAGAGAUUAGUAAGGAACUAAAUCAUUUUGAAGAAAAACCCAAGCCUAAUCGGAAUGAUACGGAAGCAAUCAAUCUAGGGGACACAGAUAAUGUCAAAGAAACUAAGAUAAGUGUCCAUCUUGAACCGCAAAUCAGGGAAGAAAUAAUUAAAGCAUUGUUUGAGUAUAAGGAUAUUUUGCAUGGUCGUAUGAUGAUAUGCCAGGUUUGAGUACUUAUUUGGUGGUCCAUAUUGCCAAUUGAUCCAUCAUUCCCUCCCGUCAAGCAGAAGUUGAGAAAGUUUAAAGCUGACAUGAGUGUGAAGAUUAAAGAAAAGGUCACAAAGCAGCUUGAUGCAAAGGUCAUUCGAGUCACGCGGUAUCCCACGUGGUUAGCCAAUAUUGUGUCGGUGCCAAAGAAAGAUGGUAAGACGAGAGUUUGCGUUGAUUACUGUGACCUCAACAAAGCAAGUCCAAAGGACAAUUUUCCACUGCCAAAUAUACACAUUUUGACUGACAACUGUGCCAAGCAUGAGAUUGGCUCUUUUGUGGAUUGCUAUGCAGGGUAUCAUCAGAUUUUAAUGGAUGAGGAAGAUGCGAAAAAGAAGACAUUCAUCACACCAUGAGGAACAUAUUGCUACCGGGUCAUGCCUUUUCAUCAGAUAAAAAUGGUGGGGCAACUUACAUGAGGGAAAUGACUACCAUAUUCCAUGACAUGAUACAUAAGGAGAUUGAGGUUUAUGUGGAUGAUGUGAUCAUAAAGUCCAAGAAGCAGUGUAACCACGUCAGAGAUUUGAGAAAGUUCUUUCAGAGGCUCCGCAGGUAUAAUCUUAAGCUAAACCCUACCAAGUGUGCAUUUGGUGUUCCAUCUAGGAAGCUGUUAGGGUUCAUAGUCAGUCGAUGGGGCAUUGAGUUGGAUCCGUCAAAGAUCAAAGCUAUCCAUGAAUUGCCACUGCUUAACUAAUCUAUGAGUUGGAUCCGUCAACUUCAUAGUCAGAAGUUGAAGCAUUAUUUGUCGUCCUACACUACUUAACUCAUCUCUCGCCUAGAUCCUUUGAAGUAUAUCUUUCAGAAGCCCAUGCCCACAGGAAGGCUCACAAAGUGGCAGAUCUUGCUCACAGAGUUUGACAUCGUAUAUGUGACUCGAACAACGAAGAAAGCCCAUGCUUUAGCUGAUCACUUGGUCGAGAACCCGGUGGAUGAAGAAUAUGAACCUUUGAGGACUUACUUACCUGAUGAAGAGGUAAUCCAUAUUGAUGAGGUCGAGAAGGACGAAAAUCCCGGUUGGAAACUCUUCUUUGAUGGAGCUGCUAAUAUGAAAGGUGUUGGGAUAAAAGCUGUACACAAUUUUGAAACAGGGCGUCACUACCCUGUCACUGCUCAGCUUCGUUUCUACUGUACGAACAACAUGGCCGAGUACGAAGCAUGUAUUUUGGGAUUAAGGUUGGCUGUGGACAUGAGAGUCCAGGAAGUGCUGGUUUUAGGAGAUUCAGAUCUGUUAGUGCAUCAGAUCUAGGGAGAAUGGGAGACUCGAGAUUUGAAACUCAUACCGUAUCGUCAAUGUCUGCAGGAUCUCUGUCAGCGGUUUAGAUCAGUGGAGUUCAGGCAUAUCCCUAGGAUCCACAAUGAGGUUGCUGACGCUUUGGCUACUUUGGCAUUGAUGUUACAUCAUCCAGAUAAGGCUUAUGUUGACCUUUGCAUAUUCAGGUCUGCGAUCAGCAUGCUUGCUGUAACAUGGUAGAAGAAGAACUUGACGGUGAUCCUUGGUUCCACGAUAUCAGGGAGUACAUCAGAUCGGGGGUAUAUCUAGUACAAGCCAAAGAGGAUCAAAAGUGAAUAAUUCGAUGCUUGGCAAGUGGAUUUUUCUUCAGUAGAGGAGUUUUGUACAAAAGAACUCCAGAUCUGGGAUUGUUAAGAUGCAUAGAUGCUAGACAAGCCACGACUAUCAUGACUGAAGUGCAUUCCGAAGUCUGCAGGCCGCAUAUGAGUGGGUAUGUUCUGGAAAAAAAAAUUCUUCGAGUAGGUUAUUAUUGGCUCACCAUAGAGCGAGAUUGUAUCAGUUUUGUGUGCAAGUGUCAUCAAUGCCAAGUACACGGAUAUUUGAUUCAUUCUCCGCCUUCUGAAUUACACACAAUGUCCGCACCAUGGCCCUUUGUUGCUUGGGGUAUGGAUGUCAUCAAACCAAUUGAGCCAGCAACAUCCAAUAGACACAGGUUCAUUAUGGUGGCCAUUGACUAUUUCACUAAGUGGGUUGAAGCUAAAACUUUCAAAUUUGUGACCAAGAAGGCAGUGGUCGAUUUUAUUCAUUCAAAUAUCAUUUGUCAGUUUGGGAUCCCGAAGGUGAUCAUCACAGAUAAUGGUGCCAAUCUUAAUAGACAUCUGAUGAAGGAAGUGUGUCAACAGUUUAAGAUUACACAUCAAAAUUCCGCCCCAAGGAAAAUGGAGCAGUCGAGGCAGCCAACAAGAAUAUAAAGAAGAUACUUCGGAAAAUGGUACAAGGUUCCAGGCAAUGGCAUGAAAAGUUUACCUUUGCAUUGUUGGGUUAUCGCACUACUGUUCGCACUUCAGUGGGUGCAACUCCUUAUUUGUUGGUAUAUGGAACUGAAGCAGUGAUACCCGCGGAAGUUGAAAUCCCAUCCCUUUGGAUUGUGGCUGAAGCCGAAAUUGAUGAUGAUGAGUGUGUCAAAACUCGUCUGGAGCUAUUGAGUUUGAUUGAUGAGAAAAGAUUAGCAACAGUAUGUCAGAAGAUAAUGGCAAGAGCAUAUAACAAGAAGGUGCAUCCGCAGAAAUUUGAAGUAGGUCAGCAAGUAUUGAAACACAUCCUUCUUCAUCAGGUUGAAGCAAAAGGCAAGUUCGCCCCAAAUUGGCAGGGGUCAUUCAUCAUAACAAGAGUGUUGUCCAAUGGUGCUUUAUAUUUAAUAGAUGUACAAGCCAAAUAUGUAGAUAUGGCUAUCAAUUCUGAUGUAGUCAAAAGAUAUUAUGUAUGAUUUCUUUGGUUUGUCUAAAUUAUUGUUUGUACUUGGUAUAUUUUGAAGAUUAUUCUGCUAUGUAAACACUUAUCCUUUGAUACCCCUUUGAGCCUUAUAUAUGUCCUUUCAUACCCCUCUUUUGGAAUCAGUAGCAAAAUUCAGAAAUACGAACGCAAAAGUUAAGUAAAGAAGAAAAGGAGAAAAGAGAAGAGGAAAGAGAAAGAAAGAAUGCAAAAAAGGGAAAAAAGAGAAGAAAGAAAGGAAAAGAAAAAAAAGAGAAGAAAGAGAAGAAAAAGUGAAAAAAAAGAAAAAAAAGAAAAGAAAAGAAAAGAGAGAAAGGAAAGAAAAGUGAAAAGUACAAAAACAAAGCAAUUCCUAUGCCAUGAACUACGUUAUGAACUACGUUCGACCUGAUUCCUUUUAAGGAUACGUAGGCAGCCUCACGGUUCGGUCCCAUCAAAAUAAAAAAUUCAUAAGUCCCCAAGCAAAGAAACUGGGGCAGAAAGUUGUGUUUGUUGUAAGAAAUCUGAUUCCAAAAGUUGUAAUUUUGAACCCAUUCAAACUGUCUUUGAGCCUUUGUGAUAUCCUUUCUUUAUAACCCUAUCCAAAAGCCCACAUUAUGUUCCAAAAAAAGACCUUCCGAUCAGUCUUCGAGAGAUGUCAAGUCAAGCAGGUAGGGGUGCAAUUCAUAUCAGGGGAACACUCUGGUCUAAGCAGAAAAAAUAAAAAAAAAAUAAGAGAGUCUUAUUGGUGAAGACCCUCACGGGCACCGUAAGGCGAUUGAAAGCUGAGAAAAAUUAAAAAUGAGAGAGUCUUAUUCGUGAAAAUCCUCAGGGUCACCGUAGGGAGUUGGAAAGAUGAGAAAAAUUAAAAUGAGAGAGUCUUAUUGGUGAAAACCUUCAUUGGCACCGUAAGGCGACAGUGAGUUGAGAGAUGAACAAAUGGGAGAGGUUUAUUGGUAAAAACCCUUCAGAGCACUGCAAGCAAAACAAGGUGAGUGACUUGGCGAAGAGAUUGGGUUGUGGAAAUCCCGGGGCAUAAAGUAUGACAACUAAAAGGUGAUUGGUUGAAUAAGCUGGGCUAAUCAAUCCAAAAUGCAUAUCAUGAUCAUUGCUACCAGCUGCUCCACUCAGAUAAGUAUAUUUUCCUUUUCUCCCUCAAACAGUCAUCCAGUUUUGGAUUUCUUCUUUAUUCCUAACUCUCGAAGUCAUUGCCUUUCAUUUCUUUUGGGUUUAUUUCUUUAAGGUUUUUCCAAUAUCAGCUGUGUAUAAGCAAGUGAGAAAGGAUUUCAAAUCUCACUAUCAACUUCCAAAUUUCACAAAGCAAAGUGCGGCCAAAACAUAACAGAGAUAGCAUGAUGCAAAGUGAAAAUAGGGUGUCAGUGAAAGCUCCAUUGGGCGAAUGGUUUGGGAAUCUUGUGAGAAAUACAGAGUUUCAGGUAGAAAGGUCAGAAAUGUAAAACAAUGGGUUGGGUGUAGAGCACUCGGGUCAUUCAGGGUCCUGUAGUUGAGAUGCAGUCAGAAAGUCAAACAAUUCUUGGCUAGUUCAAAGCAUCUAGUUAGAGCAAAGCACGAUAAUGGAAAGGCCACCUUCAGUAAGAAUGCCACAAACUAACCACCAUAUUUUUCAAACCGGUAAAGUUCUCUUUGAUUGAAACAGGGGCAGGAAUUCUCGUUUGUUCCGGAGGAACCCUCCGUAAGGAAAGCAUGUACCGAACAGGUUCAACCAUAAAUUCUUAGGAUCUGCCUGGAUAAUGAGAUUUAAUUUGAAGUUCUCAGGACCCUCCUGGACAGUGGGACUUAGUUAAAAUUAAAAACAUUCAUGAGUAACAAGAUACAUCAUAAGCUCUACUUUGAGAAAAUAUAAGUUGGUUUUGAAGUUUUCAUUCUUAGGAAGAGAUUAAAUUGGAAAUUUUCAGGACCCUCCUGGAUAAUGGGAUUUAUUUUUAAGAUCUUCAUAGGUAAUAAGAUUUAGCGUAAGUCCUACCUUUAGGAAAUAUAAUUUAGCUUUAAAAGUUGUCAUUCUUAAGAUGAUAUUUAAUUUGAAGUUUUCAGGGCCCUCCUGGAUAAUGGGGUCUAGCUUUUAAAAUUCUUAGAGAUAUUAGGUAACAUGAUUCAAUUAACACUCACAGAUGUGCCUACAUACUAAAACUGGGGCAGAAAAGUUUCUUUGUUUUAUCUAUUUUUGUUGUAAUCAGGCACCAACCUAGAGAAAUAAGGGAAAACAGUUCGCGUUUCAAGGGAAAGUAGUUCAGGUUCAGCAAUCAGGCGCCCACUUGGAGAACAAAGGGAAAGCAAUUCAAAUUUCAAAGGAAGACAAUUCAAAGGAAAAGCAGGCUUAAGAGAAAGCAGUUCGGGUUCAGCAAUCAGGCACCCACCUGGAGAACAAAGGAAGAUGACACAAGUUCAAAGGAAAGCGGGACAAGCUUAGCAAUCAGGCGCCCACCUAGAUAACAAGGGAGAACAGUUCAAGUUUCAAGUAGCAAGAGAAGAUGGUUUGAGUGUCUGCGAUCAGGCACCCACUUGGAAAACAAGAGAAAAUAAUUCAAGUUUCAGAGGAAAGGAAUACAAUUCAAAUGUUGGUAGUCAGACACCUAUCUGGAGAACAAAGGGAAAGCAGCAAUAUCCAAAGGAAGGCGGUUCAAGUUCAGCAAUCAGGAGCCCACCUGGAGAACAAGGGAAACAAGUCAAGUUUCGAGGGAAAAGUAGUACAAGUGUUGGAAGUCAGGCACCCACCUGGAGAACAAGGAGGAGCAAUUCAAGUCUCAAGGAAAAACAGUGCAAGUGUUGGUAAUUAAGCACCAACCUGGAGAAUAAGGAGAAGCAAGUCAAGUUUCAAAGAAAAGCAGUAUAGAUAUUGGAAAUCAGGCACCCACCUGGAGAAUAAGGGAAAACAAGUCAAGUUUCGAGGAAUAUAGUUAAAGUUUUGGCAAUCAGGCGCCCACUGGAGAGCAAGGGAGUACAGUUAAAAUUUUGGCAAUCAGGCGCUCACCUGGAGAAUAAAGAAAGCAGUUCAAGUUUCAAAGGAAGACAACACAGGUUUCAAUGGAAAACAGUUUAAGGUAAUAAAGGGAAUACAAUUCAUGUUUUGGUAAUCAGGCACCCACGUGGAGAGCUAGGGAAUACAGCUAAAGUUUUGAUAAUCAGGCGCCCACAUAGAGAGCAANNNNNNNNNNNNNNNNNNNNNNNNNGAGUAUUCAAACGGGCAAAAAUCGCUCGUAUCCGCCUCACUGUAUCUUUGCACAAAAACUCUUCGGGUUUUCCGAGCAAAGAGGGGCAGUUGUGAGUACAUGAUUUUUCCCUUAUAUGAAUUAUUCCCAUAAAAUAUAAGAAAAUAAUUUUUCCAAUUUUUGCAAUUUUAUAGGAUUUUUUGUACAAUUUUACUAAUUAUUUGAAUUUUUGUGCAUAUUUAAUUUCCAUUAAAAAUAAAAAAAUAUAAAAAAUACCAUGCAUUGCAUUUAGGUUUGAUUUUACAUUUUUUGGAAUUAAUUAGUAAUUAUUUCUUUUAUUAAAAACGAAAAUCACAAAAUAGCUCAUUUUACACCUUUUAAUUUUAGUCUAUAGAUUUUUCCUUUUGAUUUAGGACUAAAUAAUGUUAUACUUAUUGUGACUAGGCAAUUAAUUUAAUUUUACAGCUUAGAUUAAUUUAGGUGUUAAUUUUAGGAUUUUAUUAAUUAAAAAAAGAAUAGAAAAACAAAAAGAAAAGUGGAAAGUGAAAAAGGCUGUUUUAAUUCCAAUUGGGCCAACUGAUUGCUAAGCCCAAACCCCACCUAAUUGCCCAAACUUCCCCAGCUUAAAUACUCAAAACCCGUCUGGCCCAUCACUUACCCGCCCCGUUUUCCCCCUUACUAUUUAAGCUCCUUAUAAAAUUUUCCCCAAAAAAAUCAUACCCUAAUUUCCAAACUUAGAAGCGACGCUUACCCUAUUCACUAUCUUCCUCACCUGAAUUCAUUCCCAAACUCGCCAAAAUUCAGGCGAGUGAACCCAAACUCGCCUCACGCGCUCCCCCUGCCACAUGGUGUAACGGCCUCUGACAAUUAGAAUAUUCCUUCCAGAUUUUUUGUGCCUCUCGAUCGAUUUACUGGAUAAAUGGGGGUCGUGGAUGGAUGAAAAUCAAUCCUCGCCCUCUAUUUAUCCCAAAAAUCAUUCAUAGAAAGGGUUUGAAAAGGAAUUUCAGGUGGGGGUUUUGGGCAGAAGCUUCGAGAAUUUUUCGGAGGGUCUGUAUAAGGUGAGAUUUUUCCUUGUGUGAAGGGGUUCAAGAGAGAUUUUCGAAAAGGAAUUGGGGAGGUAAAAGGUUCUAGGUUUCUUUGAGUCCUUUUCUUUAGAUUCUUCAGGUUUAGAUUGCAUUUUCAGAAACAAAAAUAAAAAAAAAUAUAUAGUCUGAGUUUGAUUUUGUUCGAGGUUUAUUUCAUUUCAAAAGAAAUCAGAAAAAUUACCAAAAUUUCAGCAUUUUUUUUGUUUCUGGUUCUCAAGAAUGGAGUAUGAUUGAAGUUUAAGUUGGAUGUGUUUGGGUUCGGAAUUCCGAUGCCGAUUCGAGUUUCCAUCCGAGGUUCGUGGCUUGGCUUGCGUUUUCUGCUCAAUUGCGUUGCCGUUCUCAGUUUAAAUUUUGGAGCAGAACAUUAAAGAAUUUUAGCCGAACAGGUUCAUUUUAAACUUUUCCUCUCUUUUGUUUGAACAUGUGUGGAAUAAAUUAAUUAUUGUCUAGAUUAAGCCAUUAGUAAUUUUGAAACAUUAUUUAUUUUCUUCUUGACUCAGUUUACCUCGUGUUGAGUGUGUUUGUUUAAGUCAUAUCUCCUAGCAGCAUUUCCAUUCAGUUGAGUUUAAGGUGUUGGCAUCUUUGCCUUUGUGAUUGUUCCUGUGUUUUUUUUUGUUUUUCCUUUUAGCAGUUUGAACAAGAAUCUGUUAUAACUUUUCCAUGAAGUAUUUUGUUUUGAAAUAAAGUAACAACAUGUGCUCGAUUAGGAAACGAAUGGUCAUCGCUUCUGCCUGUGAUUAAAUUAUUAAAGUUUACUGUGAAGCUUAGUGAAUGUACUGUUAAGAGGAAUAUGAUAGUAAAUGACUCAAGAAUUGAAAUAUGAAGUUUAUACUUUUUAUUUAAAUCAAUAUUUGUGUUAUAGUUUAUUUUAUUUUUUCUGAAAAGCUCAACUGCCUAGUAUUUAAUUAAAAUAUCCUUAGCUCCUUCAAAUUCCCUGCUGGUUCUAUAUUAUAACUGUUAGGAGUAGUAUAGUAGCCUGUUGGAAAUUUUGUUCGAAAUCGGUUUGUGUUAGUUGGCUUAUUCUUCCUUUUUUCACUUAGCUCAAACAUGUGAUGAAUUUCAAGGGAGUUUUUCUUUAGUCACUUAGAUUCUUAAUCAAGAGAAACCGCCUGUUCACUUUGAGUUAUAUGCGUUGUUGUUCCCUUCUAUGGUUUAAUCAGUCAAAUAUUUUGGAUGCAUAUUCCAAUAUUAUUUGGCCAUGUUUUGCAUUAAUGGUUUUUCAUUUUUAAACGUUAGAAUUUUGUAGCAGACAGAGAAUGGGGGGUACAAGGGACAUCAUGGUUUUUGUAUCAUAAUGCUAGCCAAUUUUUCUUUUUAUUGCUCUCUGUUAUUCAUUUUGUUACCUGUGUUUAUAAGCUUACUGAUACCAGGUGUCUUUGGAAAGUUAUUUGUUAGUUGUGUCAUCAUCUUUAUUUAGUUUGGUUAAGUUGUUUGAAAUGGGUCAUGGGAAAUGGGGUACAACUAGUCCUUAAAAAUUAAAUCAUGUUCAGAUAUUGUAAGAUCUAGAUUAGGUUAUGUGAAUGAAUCAAAGGAAAGUGAAUGGGUCCAUAAUUAAUUGGCCUUUCCAACUACGUACAGAUAGGGGUGUUAAAGUGAAUCCCUAUAUGUAUAAUUGACUAUUAUUUUAUCUGUGAGUUUGAGCAGAAUAAAACACAACAGGGAUCAAAUAAAGUAGGGUAACAAAAUAUCUCUACCUAACCUUAGCAACCUAAUUUCUGAUACUUGGAUUUCGUAUCGUCAAGUCGGCAAUUCUUAUUUCUUUCGUGUUAGUUUUUUUCCUUAAAUCUAACAUAUAGAAUUUUUCUCCAUAGAAUAAUUAACAAUAUCAUAUUUUAUUUUAGGUGCGAUAAUUAAAUAAAUCGUCAUAACUACGGGUACGGUUCCUGUGACAUAGUUGUGAUACUUAAUUUCGAAUUGGUUUUAAAUAUGAACAUCCGUAGUUAAAUGCUUUUCCCUUUAAUAAAAUUGAGGUGUACCAUCCAAUCACCUAGUCUAUGGCCCUCACAACAAUAUCCUCACCAAUGUAGAAGAAUGCCUUGAACUCUCGUAGUUUACUUUAGGCUCGUUAAUUAAAUAAAGUAGCAUAGCUACGGGUACGAUUCCCAUGACGUAGUUGUGAUACACAAUUCUAAAAUCCGAGGGUACAUUUAUGUGACCUGACUAUAAUUUAAUUUUGUUAAAUAAUUAAACACGUUGUGGAUCGUGGAUACGGUUCCCGUGACAUUAUUCGCAAUGUGUAAUCAUAUAAUUAGUUGUAUAACAAUUGGAUUAUUAAAAGCGGUUUAAAAGGAAUAAAAAUGCAUAUACGGUUCAAAGAUGUUUUAAAAUCAAAUAAAUAGGCCAAUAAUAACAGUUGAACGACCGUGAUAAAACCACGAAACCUGGGAAUGCCUAACACCUUCUCUCGGGUUAACAGAAUUUCUUACCCGAAUUUCUGUGUUCAUGGACUGUAAAACAGAGUCAAUAUUUCCUCGAUUCGGGAUUUGAACCGGUGACUUGGGACACCAUAAAUUAUCUCAAGUGGCGACUCUGAUCAAUAAAUAAAUAAUCUCGUUUCGAUUGUCACUUAAAUUGGAAAAAUCUCCCUUUAUACCCUUCCGGGGGUAGAAAAAGGAGGUAUGACAACAUGCAUGAUAAAGGUCAAAAAACUUCAUCAGUUCUUUUCCUUUUCAUUUGUGUAGAAUUAUCCAAAUUCUCCAAAUCAUCAUCCUUUUCUUGUAAAAUGUCAAAAGUAUCAUGAGGUAGAACUUUUCUUGCAACAUGCCAGCCUUUAUUUGAAGGAUCGUCGACAUAAAAUACUUGUAAUGCUUGGUUUGCUAAUACAAAUGGCUCAUUAGUUUUCAGUAACCGCUGACAGCUAACACUCACAAAGCCAUAUUCAUCCAUUUUAACUCUCUUUUCUUGGUCAUACAGAUCAAACCACAUACAUCUAAACAAGAUCACUCUUUUGCCUCCAAUAAAUUGCAAUUCAAAAAUCACAGUAAGUUCUCCAUAAUAAUCAAUAUUUUUAUUCUCGUCAUCUGUCUCACCAACUACAAUCACCCCGUAGUUUUGAGUCCUCAAACCCCUGUCAUAAUCUUCCACAUGAAACCUAUAUCCAUCAGUAACAUAACCUUUAAGACGUCUCACAUAUGGCAGGGGACCACGUGACAAAGUGAGCAAAUCUUCCAUUUUCUUACUGUUAUCACAUUUGUACAAUUCUACAACCUAUCAAAAUCAAUUAUAUAAUUUAAUUAGCAAAUACUAUAUAAUAUUAUGGUUAGAAAAAUAACAAUAGUAUAUAACUUGUACUAACCUUUUUUUUAAACCAGCUAAUGAACUCCUUAUUAGAAUGUUUUUGAGAGGUAUCACCUGGAAUUUGUGAAAAAUUUCUACAAAAUAUUAAAGAAUAACAUGUCCUUUUAAUUGAAAUCAUGGAUAAAAUAUAAUAAAAUUAUUAUGUCGAGUCAAUACUUACUCGAAAAAUGGUUGAAUUUCAUCACAAUUCUUCAAAAUAAAAAUAUGUGCUUGCUCUAAUUCAUCUAGAUUAAGUUUGUCUAUAUUUCCAGCUCUUAAUUCUUUUCCAGGUUGACAAAAACUGUUAAACCUCCAUCAGAUUUAAUAAUACCACCAUCAUAAUUCUGCUCAAGACGAUUAAAUUUUGUUUCCAUUGUAUGCAAAUACCUUGAACAUAAAGUUAAACAUUCAGUUGCCAAAUAUCCCUCCGCGAUAGAACCUUUUGAGAAAGCCCUAUUACCAACUAAAGAUUUCAAAAUGUAUAGCCAUCGCUCCACUGGAUACAUCCAUCUAUAUUGAAUAGUUCCAGCAAUCAUAGUCUCAUUAGCUAAAUGGAUCGGCAAGUGCACCAUCACAUCAAAAAAUGAAGGAGGGAAUACCUUUUCUAACUUGCACAGAGUUAUAGGAAUUUGAGCUGUUCUUUGUUCUAACUCUUCCAUUCUUAAAUAUUUUGCUCCAAGCAAGUUGAAAAAUAAAGACAACUCAAGAAGAGGUUCACAUACAGAUUUGCAAAGCAUACCACGUAUAGCAAGUAGAAGUAAAUGUUGUAGAAGAACAUGACAAUCAUGACUUUUUAUGCCUGAAAUUUUACAAUCUUCAGUGUUGACACAUUGAGAUAUAUUUGAUGAAUAUCCAUCUGGAACCUUUAAGUUCUUUAGGAAUCUUAAAAAUAUGUUCUUCUCGUAAGGAGAUAACGUAUAAUAUGUUGUCGGUAGCUCAUAUUUUUCCCCAUUUUUAAUUGGAUGCAAUUCUUUCCUUAUGUUCUUUGCUUGCAAAUCCAAUCGAGCUUUUAUGGUAUCUUUAGUUUUUCCUUUGACAUUUAAGAUUGUCCCCAAAAUAUUUUCACAUACAUUUUUCUCAAUAUGCAUCACAUCUAAAUUAUGUCGCAACAAUAGAGUUUUCCAAUAGGAAAGAUCAAAGAAAAUACUCUUCUUAUUCCAAUUAUCACCCCUACUCUCAUGUGAUAUUUUAGGCUUCUUCUUUGGAUCCUUUGUUAGUGGUAAACCAUCUAAGUCAGCCACUUGAUCAAGUAUAUCCUCACCCGAUAAAAUAUUGGGUGGUAGUCUUCGCUCCUUAGUGCCAUCAAAUGACUGUUUAUCAUUUCUCCAUUUGUGAUUAAGAGGAAGAAAGUGUCUAUGACCCAUAUAACACUGCUUUUUACCAUUUUCUAACCUCAUUGAGGAUGUUUCUUUGUUGCAACAUGGGCAAGAUAAUUUUCCUUUUGUACUCCAUCUAGAUAAAUUUGCAUAGGCCGGAAAAUCAUUAAUUGUCAUGACCCUAAACCCGAACCCAGUCGUGAUGGUGCCUCUUGUGAAGACAAAGUCAUCCGACACAUUCCCAAAUCCCUUUUAAGCAAUUAAGAGAAUACAAUUAAUUCUUAAACAUGAUAAAAUCCCAAAAUAAGUAGUGACAGUGCAAUUCGCGGAAUUUAAAACCAACAUAGCCCGAUAUCGGGGUGUCACCAGUCAUGAGCAUCUACAAUCCGAAUAAAGACAAGGAAAGUCUAUAUAGUCUGACACAAAGCUAAAACAGGGAAAAUAAGAUAAGGGAAGAAGCUUUGUGCUGCGAACGCUGGCAGCUACCUAGAGAAUCUCUGAAUCUGCCUGAGCUAGAAGGAUCAACACUUGCUAGCGGGACCUGAAGCGCCUGAAUCUGCACACGGGGUGCAGGGAGUAAAGUCAGUACUCCAACUCAGCGAGUAAUAAUAAUAAAUGCAGAGUGAGUAAUAAGAAACCAUGUAAAGGCAUAUCAAUAGACUAUAAAAGAAGCAAUAAAAGCAAGUAAAAAUAGUGAAACAGUGAAAAUAUGCAAAGUCACUUUAGUUCAGUUUAAACUUCUUAAAAAUACCUUUUUAUAAAGUUAAGCAAGUAAAAGACAGGCAACUAGAAAAGAUAAACACAUAAAGAAAUGCUCCUCAGGCACAAUACCAAUAGAAUCAACCCCUCGGGCAACACAUGGAACAACAACCAGCCCUUCGGGCUAUAUCUCACAUCACAAUGGGAACCCGUGCUCACUGGGGGUGUGCAGACUCCUAGAGGGGCCCCUUACGGCCCAAGCGCAAUAUCAAGCCAUCUCGUGGCAUCAUCACUAGGCUCUCGGCCUCAUAUCAACAAGCCACCUCGUUGCGUACCAAUCUCAGGCCCUCAGCCUCAUAAUCAUAAUUAGUGUUUCCUCACAACACAGGCCCUCGACCUUACUCAGUCAGAAUCUCAUAAGCCACUCAGGCAACAGUAAAACAUGAUGCUCAGCCCAAAAUAUCAUUUAAAAUAUCAUUUUAAGUGUUAAAGCAGAGUAAACAUGGCUGAAUUAUGAAAAUGAUAGAAUAUAGCAUGACUGACUACAAGUAUAAAGUCAAAACAUUGAGGAAAUAUCAGUAAAAAUCCCCUAAGGGUUCAAAUAGUUGGCACGAGACCCAAAUAUGGCAUUCAACCCAAAACAUGAUGAUAGCAAAAAGUUUUCAGUCAAAUACGCGGUAAAAUAGUCAUUCGGGACGGACUAAGUCACAAUCCCCAACAGUGCAUGACCCCACGCUCGUCAUCUAGCGUAUGCGUCACCUCAAUACAGCACCAUGAUAUGGAAAUCCGGGGUUUCAUACCCGCAGGACAACAUUUACAAUUAUUACUCACCUCAAUCCUAUCCAAACUCUAGGCCACGAUGCCUUUGCCCCUCGAAUCGGCCUCCACUCACGUCGAAUCUUUCCACAAUCAUAAUCGUGGCGUCAAAUUAUACUAAGGGAACGAAGCCCAAGCGAAAAUAAUCAAUUUACACAUACAUCCCGAAAUUACCAAAACCCAACACCCUGGCCCACGUCUCGGAAUUCGAUAAAUUUUACAUCAAUAGUUUCCUUAUCUCCCCACAAGUUCAUACAUAUCAAAAGUCCCAAAAUCCAACCACAAAUGGUCCCUCAAAUCCUCAAGUCUAGGUCUCCAAUACCAAGCCCUAGUUUCCCAAUUUUAACCUUUAAAUUCCAUUAAUUAUAGCUCUAAUCUGUUAAAUAAUACCAUAGGAUCGAUUAUUAGACACAAAAAUCUUACCUCCAGACGAUAACCCUUGAAUCCCUCUUCAAAAUCCCCCAAAAAGCUCUAAAGCCAACUUAGAAAUGGCGGAAUAGCUCAAAAAUCACAAAGGAAAUAAUUUAUGACUUCUAGCCCAAGUAUUUCGCAUCUGCAGUCAAAAUUCUGCUCAUGCGGUUCCACUUUUGCAGUCCAUAAACCGCUUCUACGGUUUUUCACUUAUGUCCCAACUUCCCGCAUCUGCGAUGCUCACUCCGCACCUACGCCAUCGCAGGUGUGGUUACCCAACCGCUUCUGUGGUCACAACCUUCCUAGCCUCUUUCCUCUUCUGCGACUUCUUUUCCGCAUUUUCGGGGGUCACACUUGCGGCCUCCCAACCACAGAUGCGGUUAUGUCAGCAGACUUCAACUUCAGCUGCCAUCUCAAUUUUCCAUUCUUUCCGCCAACCAUCCGAAAUCACCCUCGAGGCCCCCGGGACCUCAACCAAAAGCAUAAACAAGUCACAUACCACCAUCCAAACAGGUACCAAUCUUCAAAACACCUCAAACAACAUCGAAUCAACCAAAACACAUCAGAUUCAAGCCUAAGUUUCCAAAAUCUUCUAAAUUACGCUUUUGAUCAAAAAGUAAACCAAACCACGUCCGAAUGACCUAAAAUUUUGCACACACAUCCCAAAUGACACAACGGAACUAUUGAAACUCUCGGAAUUCCACUCCAACCCAUAUAUCUAAAUCUCACCUAUCAGCAGGAAAACGCCAAAAUUUCAACUUUGCCAAUUCAACCCUAAAUCUACUCCGGACCUCCAAAAUGCAUUCUGAUCAUGCUCCUAAGUCCCAAAUCACCUCGUGAAACUAUCUGAACCAUCAGAACACACAUCCAAGCCCUUUAACACAUAAGUCAACAUCUGGUUGACUUUUCCAACUUAAGCUUCCUUAAAAGAGACUAAGUUUCUCAAACCUUCUCAAAACCUUUUCGAACCUGAGCCAACCAACCUGGUCACACAUGGAACCAAUAAACAAAGCAAUAAGAAGCAUAAAUGGGGGAAACUGAGCGGUAACUCAUGAGACGACUGGCCGGGUCGUCACAUCCUCCCCCUCUUAAACAAAUGUUCAUUCUUGAAUGAGUCAAGAAACAUAUCUGAAGCCUCAAACAAGUGAGGAUAUUUGCUCCGCAUCUCCCGUUUGGUCUCCCAGGUAGCCUCCUCCAUGGGCUGACCUCUCCACUGCACUUUCACCGAAGCUAUAUCCUUUGAUCUCAACUUUCGAACCUGACACUGCAAAAUAGCUGCUAGCUCCAUGUCAUAAGUCAAAUCACCAUCCAACUGAACCGUGCUAAAAUUCAGAACAUGAGACGAAUCCCCAAUAUACUUCCGGAGCAUAGAAACGUGAAAUGUCGGAUGCACACUCGACAGGCUGGGUGGCAAGGCAAGCUCAUAAGCCACCUCCCCAAUCCUUUGAAGCACCUCAAAAGGCCCAAUGAACUGAGGACUCAAUUUACCCUUCUUCCCAAACCUCAUAACACCCUUCAUGGGCGAAACCUUCAACAAAACCUUCUCACCAACUGUCACGACCCUAAACUCAGACCCGGUCGUGAUAUCGCCUCUCAUGAAGAUAAGGCCAGCCGACACAUUUCCAAUUCCUUUUUAAGAAAUUAAACAAUAAGCGUUUAGUCUUAAACAUGAUAUAAAUCCAAAAGUAAGCAGUGACAAUACAAACAAUUUGCGGAAUACAACCCAACACAGCCUGAUACCGGGAUGUCACUAGUCAUGAGCAUCUAUCAAUCCUAACUCAAGACUGAAAAUCCUACUAACUAUAACAAAAUAACUGAUAAAGAGAUAGAAAUGAGAUAAAAGGGGAGAAACAUGGGACUGCAGACGCCAAGCAACUACCUCGUGGAUUCCGAAGUCUACCGGGAGCUCUCAACUCACGCUAGCAGUAUCAGCAACGCCUGAAUCUGCACACGGGGUGCAAGGAGUAAAGUGAGUACUCCAACUCAAUGAGUAAUAAUCAUAAAUAAAUGACUGAGAGAUAUGAAAACAUGUAAGGCACAUUACAGGCUAUAAUGAAGCAGUAAAAGAGGUAAAAAUAGUGAUUUAGUAAAUAUAUGUAAAAUCAUAUAAGUUCAAUUUAACUUCAUGAAAUUCCUAUUCAACAAUUAAAGAGGUAAAUGACAGGCAAAUAAGAAAGAUAAACAUAAAAAGGUUCACCCCUCGGACACAAUAUCAACAAAUCCGCCCCUCGGGCAAUAUCUCAGAACAAUACCAGCCCCUCGGGCUAUAUCUCACAUCACAAUGGGUACCUACACUCACUAGGGGUGUGCAGACUCCUGGAGGGACCCCUUACGGCCCAAUCUCAAUAUCAAGCCAUCUCGUGGCAUCAUCACUAGGCUCUCGGCCUUAUAUCAACAAGCCAUCUCGUGGCGUAUAAAUCUCAGGUCCUCGGCCUUAUAAUCCUAAUCAGUGUUUCCUCACAACAUAGGCCCUCGGUCUUACUUAGUCAGAACCUCACAGCUACUCGAGCAACAGUAAAACAUAAUGCUCAGCCCAAAAUAUCAUUUAAAAUAAUUUAAGUGUUAAAGUAGAGUAAACAUGGAUGAGUUAUGAAAAACAGUAGAAUAUAGCAUGACCGAGUUCAAGUAUAAAGUGAAAACAGUGAGGAAAUAUCAAUAAAAUCCUCUAAGGGUUCAGAUAGUUGGCACGAGGCCCAAAUAUGGCAUUCAGCCCAAAACAUGAUGAUAGCAAAUAGUUUUAAUUCAAAUACACGGUGAAAUAGUCAUUCAGGAUGGACUAAGUCACAAUCUCCAAUAGUGCACGACCCCACACUCGUCAUCAAGUUGUGCAUCAACUCAACAUAGCACAACGAUGUGCAAAUCGGGGGUUUCAUACCCUCAGGACAUCAUUAACAAUCAUUACUCACAUCAAUCUAGUCCAAAUCUAGCCCACGACGCCUUUGCCCCUCGAAUCGGCCUCCACUCGCAUCGAAUCUAACCAAAAUCAGAAUCACGACGUCAAAAUAUGCUAAGGGAACGAAGCCCAAACAAAAAUAAUCAACUUACAACUUAAAUCCCAAAAUUACCAAAACCCGACCCCUGGGACCACGUCUCAGAAUUCAAUAAAAUUCACAUGAAUAGAUUCCUCAUCUCCUCACGAGUUCGUACAUAUCAAAAGUACCAAAAAUCCAACCACAAAUGGUCCAUCAAAACCUCAAGUCUAGGUGUCCAAUACCAAGCCCUAGUUUCCCCCAUUUUAACCCUUAAAAUCCAUUAAUUAUAGCUCGAAUCCGUGAAAUAAUACCAUAGGAACGAGUUUUAGGUCCAAAAUUCUUACCUCAAUAAAGUUCCCUUGAAAUACUUCUUCAAAAAUCAUCCAAAAAGCUCCAAAGCCGACUUAAAAAUGGUGGAAAAGCUCAAAAAUUGCGAAGGAAACAAUUUAUAUGUUCUGACCCAGGCAUUUUUGCAUCUGCGGUCAAUCCACCGCAUCUGCGGUACCGCUUUGCGGUCCAAGAACCGCUUCUAUGGUUUUCACUUAUCCUCCAGCUUUUCGCAUCUGUGAUGCACCAGCCGCACUUGCGGCAUCGCAGGUGAGGUUCACCAACCGCUUCUUAGGUUUCUGCCUCCCUCACUUUCUUCCGCUUCUGCGGCCUUCCCCACUUGCAUAUGCGGCAUCGCACCUGCGGUCCCCAAUCCGUAGGUGCAGAAAUACCAGAAGUAGAAAAUCUUCAGCUUCUACAAAAAUUCCAAACUCUCCGUCAACCAUACAAAACCACCUGAGGCAUCUGGGACCUCUACAAAAAGCACAAACAUAUCCCAUAACCUCAGUCAAACUUAUACCAAUCUUCAAAAUACCUCAAACAACAUCGGAUCAACAAAAACUCAUCGGAUUCAAGCCUAAGUUUCCAAAUUCUUCCGAAUUACGCUUUUGAUGAAAAACUCAACAAAACCACAUCCGAAUGACCUAAACUUUUGCACACACAUCCCAAAUAACAUAGCGAAACUACUACAACUCUCGGAAUUCCAUUCUGACCCCUAUAUCAAAAUCUCACCUAUCAACCGGAAAACGCCAAAAAUCCAUUUUUGCCAAUUCACGCCUAAAUCUAUUCCGAACCUCCAAAACUCAUUACGAUCAUGAUCCUAAGUCCUAAAUCACCUCCCAAAGCUAUCCGAACCCUCGAAACUCACAUCCGAGCCCUCUAACACAUAAGUCAACAUCCGGUUGACUUUUUUCCAACUUAAGCUUCCUCAAAAGAGACUAAGUGUCUUAAAUCGUACCAAAUCCUUUUCGAACCCAAGCCAACCAACUCGAUCACAUCUAGAACCGAUAGACAAAGCAAUAAGAAGAAGAAAUGGGGGAAACGAAGCGGUAACUCAUGAGACGACUGGUCGGGUCAUCUCAUCCUCCCUAACAUAAACAAAUGUUUGUCCUCGAACGAGUCAAAAAACAUACCUGAAGCCUCAAAUAGGUGAGGAUAUUUGCUCCGCAUUUCCUGCUCGGUCUCCUGAGUAGCCUCCUCCACGGGCUGACCCCUCCACUAAACUUUCACUGAAGCGAUAUCCUUUGACCUCAACUUUCGAUCCUGACGACCCAAAAUAGCUACUGGCUCUACAUCAUAUGUCAAAUCAUCAUCUAACUUAACAGUGCUAAAAUACAGAACAUAAGACAGGUCCCCAAUAUACUUCCGGAGCAUAGAAACAUGAAAUAGCAGAUGCACACUCGACAUGCUGGGUGGCAAAGCAAGCUCAUAAGACACCUCCCCAAUCCUCCGAAGCACCCCAAAAGGCCAUAUGAACUGAGGACUCAAUUUACCUUUCUUCCCAAAUCUCAUGACACCCUUCAUGGGCGACUUCAACAGAACCUUCUCACCAACCAUGUAGGACACAUCUCGAACCUUCCUGUUAGCAUAGCUCUUCAGCCUUAACUGCGCGGUACGAAGCCUCUCCUGAAUCACCUUCACCUUUUCUAAAGCAUCAUGCACCAAGUCUGUCCCCAAUAGUCUAGCCUCACCCGGUUCGAACCAACCAAUUGGAGAUCUAUACCGUCUCCCAUACAAAGCCUCAUAUGGAGCCAUCUGAAUACUCGAUUGGUAGCUUUUGUUAUAAGCUAACUCUGCAAGCUGUAAAAAUUGAUCCCAUGACCCUCCGAAAUCAAUGAUAAAAGCACGCAACAUAUCCUCCAGUAUCUGAAUAGUGCGCUCGGAUUGCCCGUCCGUCUAAGGGUGAAAAGUUGUGCUCAACUCAACAUGAGUACCAACUCUCGCUGCACAGACCUCCAAAACUACAAAGUAAACUUAGUGCCCCUAUCUGAAAUGAUUGAAACUAGGACACCAUGCAAACGAACAAUCUCUCAGAUAUAGAUCUUUGCCAACCGCUCUGAAGAAUAGGUAGUAUACACAGGAAUGAAGUGCGCAGACUUGGUCAGCCGAUCCACAAUCACCCAAAUGCCAUCAAACUUUUUCAAAGCCUGUGGGAGUACAACUACAAAGUCUAUAGUGAUCCGCUCCCACUUCCACUCUUGAAUAUCCAUCUGCUGAAGCAAGCCACCCGAUCUUUGAUGCUCAUAUUUCACCUGCUGACAAUUGAGACACCUAGUUACAAAUCCCACAAUAUAUUUCUUCAUUCUUCUCCACCAAUAAUGCUUCCUCAAAUCCUGAUACAUCUUUGUGGCACCCGUAUGAAUGGAAUAUCGCGAGCUAUGGGCCUCAUCCAGAAUCAACUCCCAAAGCCCAUCCACAUUGGGCACACAUAUCCGGCCCUCCAUCCUCAACACCCCAUCAUCACCAAUAGUCACAUCUCUGGCAUCAUCAUGCUGAACUCUAUCCUUAAGCAUAAGCAAAUACAGAUCAUCAUACUAGCGCUCUCUAAUGCGAUCAUAAAAGGAAGACCGAGAAACCACACAAGCCAAUACCCAACUGAGCUUCAAAAUAUCUAACCUCACGAAGUGAUUGUUCAAGGCCUGAACAUCAAAUGCAAGAGGUCUCUCCCCAACUGGAAUAUAUGUCAAACUCCCCAUACUCACCUCCUUUCAGCUCAAAGCAUUGGCCACCACAUUGGCCUUCCCUGGACGGUACAGAAUAGUAAUAUCAUAUUCCUUUAGCAACUCCAACCAUCUCCGCUGCCUCAAGUUAAGAUCUUUCUGCUUGAACAGGUGUUGGAGACUAUGAUGAUCAGUAAACACCUCACAAGACACACAAUACAAGUAAUGCCUCCAAAUCUUCAACGCGUGAACUAUGACAGCCAACUCUAAAUCAUGAACGGGUUAGUUCUUCUCAUGGGGCUUUAACUGACGAGAAGCAUAAGAAAUAACUCUACCCUCCUGCAUAAAUACACAACAAAUACCAACUCUCGAACCAUCACAAUACACGGUAUAUGAACCUAAAGUUGAUGGCAAAACUAAGACUAGAGUUGUGAUCGAGGUUGUCUUGAGCUGCUGAAAGCUCUCCUCACACGCAUCCGACUAUACAAAUGAAGCACCCUUCUGAGUCAACUUGGUCAAGGGCGAUGUGAUAGACGAGAAUCCUUGAACAAACCGGCAAUAUAACCUUCCAAACCAAGAAAGCUGCGAAUCUCUAUGGCUGAGGACAGUCUGGGCCAACUUUGAACCACCUCAAUCUUCUUCGAGUCAACCUGAAUACCCUCGCUAGACACCACGUGCCCUAAGAAAGCCACUGAACUAAGCCAAAACUCACACUUGGAGAAUUUUGCAUAAAGCUUCUCCUCCCUCAAUCUCUACAACACAACUCUCAAAUGCUCUGCAUGCUCCUCCUAACUACGUGAAUACAGUAGAAUAUCAUCAAAGAAAACUAUGACAAACGAGUUAAAAUAAGGCCGGAACACGCUGUUUAUCUUGCAUGAAUGCUGCUGGGGCAUUGGUCAGCCCAAAAGACAUCACCAAGAACUCAUAAUGACCAUAUCGGUUCCUGAGAGCCAUCUUAAGAAUAUCCGAGUCCCUGAUCUUUAACUGGUGAUAACCUGAAUGGAGAUCAAUCUGGGAGAACACUCUCGCUCCCUGAAGCUAGUCGAAUAAAUCAUCAAUGCGAGGUAGAGGAUACUUGUUCUUAACUAUUAAUUUGUUCAAUUGCCUAUAAUCAAUGCACAUCCUCAUGGUGCUAUCCUUCAACUUCACAAAUAGAACCGGCGCACCCCAAGGUGACACACUAGGCUGAAUGAACCCCUUAUCAAGGAGUUCCUGAAGUUGCUCCUUUAACUCCUUCAAAUCCACUGGUGCCAUACGAUACGGCAGAAUAGAAAUGGGCUGCGUGCCUGGCACCAGGUCAAUACCAAAAUCAAUAUCCCUGUCCGGUGGCAUGCCCGACAGGUCUGCACGAAACACAUUGGGAAAAUCCCUCACAACUGGAACAAAAUCAAUACUGGUAGUCUCUACACCGACAUCCCUCACAAAGGUUAGAUAAGAAAGAAAACCCUUCCCAACCAUACGCUAGGCUUUCAAGAAUGAGAUUACUCUAGUGGGAACAUAAUCAAUCAAACCUUGACACUCAAUCCAUGGCACACUCAGUUUAGCCAAUGUCACUAUCUUAGCAUGACAGUCGAGAAUAGCACGACAUGGAGAUAACCAAUCCAUGCCCAAAAUAACAUCGAAAUCCAUCAUAUAUAAUAGUAAAAGAACCACUCAGGUCUCCAGACUCCCAAUAGUCACCACACAUGACCGGUACACACGGUCUACAACAAUAGUAUCGCCCACUAGGGUAGAUACAUGAAUAGGUANNNNNNNNNNNNNNNNNNNNNNNNNNNNNNNNNNNNNNNNNNNNNNNNNNNNNNNNNNNNNNNNNNNNNNNNNNNNNNNNNNNNNNNNNNNNNNNNNNNNNNNNNNNNNNNNNNNNNNNNNNNNNNNNNNNNNNNNNNNNNNNNNNNNNNNNNNNNNNNNNNNNNNNNNNNNNNNNNNNNNNNNNNNNNNNNNNNNNNNNNNNNNNNNNNNNNNNNNNNNNNNNNNNNNNNNNNNNNNNNNNNNNNNNNNNNNNNNNNNNNNNNNNNNNNNNNNNNNNNNNNNNNNNNNNNNNNNNNNNNNNNNNNNNNNNNNNNNNNNNNNNNNNNNNNNNNNNNNNNNNNNNNNNNNNNNNNNNNNNNNNNNNNNNNNNNNNNNNNNNNNNNNNNNNNNNNNNNNNNNNNNNNNNNNNNNNNNNNNNNNNNNNNNNNNNNNNNNNNNNNNNNNNNNNNNNNNNNNNNNNNNNNNNNNNNNNNNNNNNNNNNNNNNNNNNNNNNNNNNNNNNNNNNNNNNNNNNNNNNNNNNNNNNNNNNNNNNNNNNNNNNNNCCACAACCUCCCCACAAGUAGCACCAGUCACCCUCUCCCUAGACAUGAGAAUAUGAAGCUGAUAAGUGAGGCCAUUAACAAACCUCCUAAUCCUCUCUCUAUCUAUUGGAACCAACCAAAUAGCAUGACGAGCUAACUCGAAAAACCUGAUCUCAUACUGUGUCACAGUCAUCUCUCCCUAACGCAACCACUCAAACUCCCUACGCAGCUCCUCUCUAUGAGACUGCGGCACAUAUUUCUCCAGAAAGAGUACGGAGAACUGCUACUAGGUAAGGGGUGCUGCACCAGUAUGCCUACACCUCUCAAAAGUCUCCCACCAAGUGAAGGCAGCUCCAGAAAACUGAUAAGUAGUGAAAGCAACCCCGCUGGUCUCCAAAAUACCCGAUGUACGAAGCAUCCUCUAACACCUAUACAGGAAACCCUAGGCAUCAUCACCCUCUACACUACUGAAGGUCGGAGGAUGAAAUCUACCAUACCUCUCUAACCUAUGUUGCUCUUCCUCUGGCAUAGAAGGAACCACAUAGUCUUGAGCAGUUGCCACCGGUUGGGCUGGAGGCUCCCCCGGUGUCUGAAGUUCCUGCACGACCUACUAUUGUGUGCAAGCGGCGAGAGUCUGAUUGCCUUCCCCGACCAGAGAAGUAGUUGCGGCUGUAGUGACUGAAAUCGCCUGAGCUUGGCCAGUGCAAACUAAUAGAAUCUGAGCCAAGGCCACCUAAAGACACGGAAUCACAAUGGGCACAGCUUGUGCCUGAGCUGGUGCUACUGGAGCGUCCACAACUAGGACCUGAUCCUGAACUGGGGCAGUUGGUGGAUCUACAGGUGUUGCCUAGCUUCUGUGCGGGUCACACCUCUGCCCCUACCGCAACCACGACUGCAUCCUCGGCCUUUAGUUGCCAUAGCUGGUGGUACUGGUGGUUGUCCAUCCUGGCCGGUAGCGUGUGUCCUAACCAUCUGUGAGAGAAUGGAAUGACAGAAGUUUAGUACCCAGAUCAAUAAAUUCACACGACAAGAAUUUCAAUAAUAUAAAGUUUUUCCUAAAGGUUUUGUAGCCUCUCGAGGAUAAUACAAACGUCUUCGUAUCGAUCCAUGAGACUCUACUAAACCUGUUCAUGACUCGUGAGACUUAUGUAACCUAGGUUCUGAUACCAACUUGUCAUGACCCUAAACUCAGACCAGGUUGUGAUGGCGCCUCUCGUGAAGACAAGGCCAGCCGACACAUUUCUAAUACCGUUUUAAGCAAUUAAAUAAUAAGCGUUUAGUCUUAAACAUGAUAUAAAUCCAAAAGUAAGCAGUGACAAUACAAACAAUUUGCGGAAUACAACCUAACACAUCCCGAUACCGGGGUGUCACUAGUCAUGAGCAUCUAUCAAUCCCAACACAAGUCUGAAAAGCCUACUAAACUAUUACAGAAUAACUGAUAAAGAGAUAGAAAUGAGAUAAAGGGGGAGAAACACGGGACUACGGAUGCCAAGCAGCUACCUCGUGGACUUCGAAGUCUACUGGGAGCUCUCAACUCGCGCUAGUAGGAUGAGCAACGCCUGAAUCUACACACGGGGUGCAGGGAGUAAAGUGAGUUCUCCAACUCAGUGAGUAAUAAUCAUAAAUAAACAAUUGAGAGAUAUGAAAACAUGUAAGGCCCAUUACAAGCUAUAAUGAAGCAGUAAAAGAGAUAAAAACUGUGAUUUAGUAAAGAUAUGUAAAAUCAUAUAAGUUGUAAAAUCAUAUAAGUUCAGUUUAACUUCAUGAAAUGCCUAUUCAACAAUUAAACAGGUAAACGACAGACAAAUAAGAAAGAUAAACACAUAAAGGUUCGCCCCUCAGGAACAAUAUCAAUAAAUCCACCCCCGGGCAAUAUCUCAGAACAAUAUCAGCCCCUCGGGCUAUAUCUCACAUCAUAAUGGGUACCCGCACUCACUGGGGGUGUACAGACUCCUGGAGGGGCCCCUUAUGACCCAAGCACAAUAUCAAGCCAUCUCGUGGCAUCAUCACUAGGCUCUCGGCCUCAUAUCAACAAGCCAUCUCGUGGCGCAUAAAUCUUAGGCCCUCAGCCUCAUAAUCCUAAUCAGUGUUUCCUCAUAACGUAGGCCCUCAGCCUUACUCAGUCAGAACCUCACAGCCACUCGGGCAACAGUAAAACAUAAUGCUCAGCCCAAAAUAUCAUUUAAAACAUCAUUUAAGUGUUAAAGCAGAGUAAACAUGGCUGAGUUAUGAAAAACAAUAAAAUAUAGCAUGACUGAGUUCAAGUAUAAAGUCAAAAUAGUGAGGAAAUAUCAAUAAAAUCCCCUAAGAGUUCAGAUAGUUGGCACGAGGCCUAAAUAUGGCAUUCAGCCCAAAACAUGAUGAUAGGAAAUAGUCUUCAGUCAAAUACACGAUAAAAUAGUCAUUCGGGAUGGACUAAGUGACAGUUCCCAACAGUGCACGACCCUACGCUCGUCAUCAAGAGUGUGUGUCACCUCAACAUAGCACAGCGAUGUGCAAAUUCGGGGUUUCAUACCCUCAGGACAUCAUUUACAAUCAUUACUCACCUCAAUCCUGUCCAAAUCUAGCUCGCGAUGCGUUUUCCCGUCGAAUCGGCCUUCACUAGCGUCGAAUCUAACCAAAAUCAGAAUCANNNNNNNNNNNNNNNNNNNNNNNNNNNNNNNNNNNNNNNNNNNNNNNNNNNNNNNNNNNNNNNNNNNNNNNNNNNNNNNNNNNNNNNNNNNNNNNNNNNNNNNNNNNNNNNNNNNNNNNNNNNNNNNNNNNNNNNNNNNNNNNNNNNNNNNNNNNNNNNNNNNNNNNNNNNNNNNNNNNNNNNNNNNNNNNNNNNNNNNNNNNNNNNNNNNNNNNNNNNNNNNNNNNNNNNNNNNNNNNNNNNNNNNNNNNNNNNNNNNNNNNNNNNNNNNNNNNNNNNNNNNNNNNNNNNNNNNNNNNNNNNNNNNNNNNNNNNNNNNNNNNNNNNNNNNNNNNNNNNNNNNNNNNNNNNNNNNNNNNNNNNNNNNNNNNNNNNNNNNNNNNNNNNNNNNNNNNNNNNNNNNNNNNNNNNNNNNNNNNNNNNNNNNNNNNNNNNNNNNNNNNNNNNNNNNNNNNNNNNNNNNNNNNNNNNNNNNNNNNNNNNNNNNNNNNNNNNNNNNNNNNNNNNNNNNNNNNNNNNNNNNNNNNNNNNNNNNNNNNNNNNNNNNNNNNNNNNNNNNNNNNNNNNNNNNNNNNNNNNNNNNNNNNNNNNNNNNNNNNNNNNNNNNNNNNNNNNNNNNNNNNNNNNNNNNNNNNNNNNNNNNNNNNNNNNNNNNNNNNNNNNNNNNNNNNNNNNNNNNNNNNNNNNNNNNNNNNNNNNNNNNNNNNNNNNNNNNNNNNNNNNNNNNNNNNNNNNNNNNNNNNNNNNNNNNNNNNNNNNNNNNNNNNNNNNNNNNNNNNNNNNNNNNNNNNNNNNNNNNNNNNNNNNNNNNNNNNNNNNNNNNNNNNNNNNNNNNNNNNNNNNNNNNNNNNNNNNNNNNNNNNNNNNNNNNNNNNNNNNNNNNNNNNNNNNNNNNNNNNNNNNNNNNNNNNNNNNNNNNNNNNNNNNNNNNNNNNNNNNNNNNNNNNNNNNNNNNNNNNNNNNNNNNNNNNNNNNNNNNNNNNNNNNNNNNNNNNNNNNNNNNNNNNNNNNNNNNNNNNNNNNNNNNNNNNNNNNNNNNNNNNNNNNNNNNNNNNNNNNNNNNNNNNNNNNNNNNNNNNNNNNNNNNNNNNNNNNNNNNNNNNNNNNNNNNNNNNNNNNNNNNNNNNNNNNNNNNNNNNNNNNNNNNNNNNNNNNNNNNNNNNNNNNNNNNNNNNNNNNNNNNNNNNNNNNNNNNNNNNNNNNNNNNNNNNNNNNNNNNNNNNNNNNNNNNNNNNNNNNNNNNNNNNNNNNNNNNNNNNNNNNNNNNNNNNNNNNNNNNNNNNNNNNNNNNNNNNNNNNNNNNNNNNNNNNNNNNNNNNNNNNNNNNNNNNNNNNNNNNNNNNNNNNNNNNNNNNNNNNNNNNNNNNNNNNNNNNNNNNNNNNNNNNNNNNNNNNNNNNNNNNNNNNNNNNNNNNNNNNNNNNNNNNNNNNNNNNNNNNNNNNNNNNNNNNNNNNNNNNNNNNNNNNNNNNNNNNNNNNNNNNNNNNNNNNNNNNNNNNNNNNNNNNNNNNNNNNNNNNNNNNNNNNNNNNNNNNNNNNNNNNNNNNNNNNNNNNNNNNNNNNNNNNNNNNNNNNNNNNNNNNNNNNNNNNNNNNNNNNNNNNNNNNNNNNNNNNNNNNNNNNNNNNNNNNNNNNNNNNNNNNNNNNNNNNNNNNNNNNNNNNNNNNNNNNNNNNNNNNNNNNNNNNNNNNNNNNNNNNNNNNNNNNNNNNNNNNNNNNNNNNNNNNNNNNNNNNNNNNNNNNNNNNNNNNNNNNNNNNNNNNNNNNNNNNNNNNNNNNNNNNNNNNNNNNNNNNNNNNNNNNNNNNNNNNNNNNNNNNNNNNNNNNNNNNNNNNNNNNNNNNNNNNNNNNNNNNNNNNNNNNNNNNNNNNNNNNNNNNNNNNNNNNNNNNNNNNNNNNNNNNNNNNNNNNNNNNNNNNNNNNNNNNNNNNNNNNNNNNNNNNNNNNNNNNNNNNNNNNNNNNNNNNNNNNNNNNNNNNNNNNNNNNNNNNNNNNNNNNNNNNNNNNNNNNNNNNCUCAUCUAUCAACCGGAAAACGCCAAAAAUCCAUUUUUGCCCAUUCAAGACUAAAUCCACUCCGGACCUCCACAACUCAUUCCGAUCACGCUCUUAAGUCUCAAAUCACCUCCCGAAGCUAUCUGAACCCUCAAAACUCACAGCCAAGCCCUCUAACACAUAAUUCAAUAUCCGGUUGACUUUUUUUCCAACUUAAGCUUCCUCAAAAGAGACUAAGUGUCUCAAACCUUACCAAAUCCUUUUCGAACCCAAGCCAACCAACCCGAUCACAUCUAGAACUGAUAGACAAAGCAAUAAGAAGCAGAAAUGGGGGAAAUGGAGCGGUAACUCAUGAGAUGACUGACCAGGUCGUCAUACCCACCAUGUAGGACACAUCCCGAACCUUCCUGUCAGCAUAACUCUUUUGUCUCAAAUGCGCUGUACGAAUCCUCUCCUGAAUCACCUUCACCUUUUCUAAAGCAUCCUGCACCAAGUUUAUCCCUAAUAGCCUAGCCUCACCCGGCUUAAACCAACCAAUUGGAGAUCUACACCAUCUCUCAUACAAAGCCUCAUAUGGAGCUAUCUAAAUACUCGACUGGUAGUUGUUGUUAUAAGCAAACUCUGCAAGCGGUAAAAAUUGAUCCCAUGACCCUCCAAAAUCAAUGACACAAGCACGCAACAUGUCCUCCAAUAUCUGAAUAGUGCACUCGGACUGCACGUCCGGCUGAGGGUGUAAAGAUGUUCUCAACUCAACCUGAGUACCCAACUCUCACUGCACAGACCUCCAAAACUACAAAGUAAACCGAGUGCCCCUACCUGAGAUAAUGGAAAUUGGGACACCUUGCAAAUGAACAAUCUCCCUGAUAUAGAUCUCUACCAACCGGUCUGAAGAAUAGGUAGUACACACAAGAAUGAAGUGCGUGGACUUGGUCAGCUGGUCUGCGAUCACCCAAAUAACAUUCUAACUUCUUCAAAGUCCGUGGGAGCCCAAAUACAAAGCCCUUGGUGAUCCGCUCCCACUUCCACUCCGAAAUAUCCAUCUGCUGAAGCAAGCCACCCGAUCUCUGAUGCUCAUAUUUCACCUACUGACAAUUAAGACACUGAGACACAAAUCCCACAAAGUCACUUUAGUUCAGUUUAAGCUUCUUAAAAAUCCCUUAUUAAACAGUUAAACAAGUAAAAGACAGGCAACUAGAAAAGGUAAACACAUAAAGAAACGCUCCUCGGGCAUAAUACCAACAAAAUUAGCCCCUCGGGCAACACAUUUAACAACAACCAGCCUCUCGGGCUAUAUCUCACAUCACAAUGGGUAUCCGCACUCACUAGGGGUGUGCAAACUUCUGGAGGGGCCCCUUACUGCCCAAGCACAAUAUCAAGCCAUCUCGUGGCAUCAUCACUAGGCUCUCGGCCUGAUAUCAACAAGCCACCUCGUGGCAUACCAAUCUCAGGCCCUCGGCCUCAUAUUCAUAAUCAGUGUUUCCUCACAACAUAGGCCCUCGGCCUUACUCAGUCAGAAUCUCAUAAGCCACUCGGGCAAUAGUAAAACAUGAUGCUCAGCUCAAAAUAUCAUUUAAAAUAUUAUUUUAAGUAUUAAAGCAGAGUAAACAUAGCUGAGUUAUAAAAAUAGUGGAAUAUAGCAUGACUGAGUACAAGUAUAAAGUCAAAGCAGUGAGGAAUUAUCAGUAAAAAUCUCCUACGGGUUCAAAUAGAUGGCACGAGGCUCAAAUAUGGCAUUCAGCACAAAACAUAAUGAUAGAAAAUAGUUUUCUAUCAAAUACAUAGUAAAAUAGUCAUUCGGGACGGACUAAGUUACAAUCCCCAACAGUGCACGACCCCACGCUCGUCAUCUAGCAUGUGCGUCACCUCAAAAUAGCAUCACGAUGUGCAAAUCCGGGAUUUCAUACCAUCAGGACAACAUUUACAAUCAUUACUCAUCUCAAGCAGGUCCAAACUCUAGCCCACGACGCCUUUGCCCCUCAAAUCGGCCUCCACAUGCAUCAAAUCUAUGCAAAAUCAGAAUCACGGUGUCAAAUUAUACUCAGGGAAUGAAGCCCAAGCGAAAAUAAUCAAUUUACAACAUACAUUCCGAAAUUACAAAAAACCCGACCCCCGGUACCAUGUCUUGGAAUUUGAUAAAUUUUUCAUCAAUAAAUUCCUUAUCUCCCCAUGAGUUCAUAGAUAUCAAAUGUCCCAAAAGCCGACCACAAAUGGCCCCUCAAAUCCUCAAGUCUAGGUCUCCAAUGCCAAGCCCUAGUUUCCCCAAUUUUAACCCUUAAAUUCCAUUAAUUACAGCUUUAAUCUGUGAAAUAAUACCAUAGGAUCGAUUAUUAGACAAAUAAAUCUUACCUCCAGACGAUACCCUUUGAAUCGCUCUUCAAAAUCCCCCAAUAAGCUCCAAAGACGACUUAGAAAUGGUGGAAUAGCUCAAAAAUCGCGAAGGAAAUAAUUUAUACCUUCUGGCCCAAAGAUUUUGCAUCCGCGGCAAAAAUCCAGCUCCUGCGGUUCUUCUUUUGCUGUCCAUGAACUACUUCUGUGGUUUUUCACUUACAUCCCAACUUCCGCAUCUGCGAUGCUCACUACACACCUGCGCCAUUGCAGGUGUGGUUACCCAACCGCUUUUGCGGUCAUAGCCUUCCUAGCCUCUUUCAGCUUCUGUGACUUCUUUUUCGCAUCUGCUGGGGUCGCACCUAUGGCCUCCCAACAGUAGAUGCGGUUAUGACAGUAGACUUUAAUUUCAGCUGCCAUCUCAUUUUUUCAUUCUUUCUGCCAACCAUCCGAAAUCACAGCCUAAGUUUUCAAAAUCUUUCGAAUUACGCUUUCAAUCAAAAAGUAUACAAAACCACGUCCGAAUGACUUGAAAUUUUGUACACACAUUCCAAAUGACACAACGGAACUAUUGAAACUCUCAGAAUUUCAUUCCGACCCCUAUAUCAAAAUCUCAUCUUUCAACCGAAAAAUGCCAAAAUUUCAACUUUGUCAAUUCAAGCCUAAAUCUACUGCGAACCUCUAAAAUGCAUUCCGAUCACGCUCCUAAGUCCCAUAUCACCUCCAAAAGCUAUCCAAACCAUCGAAAAGCACAUCCGAUCCCUCUAACACAUAAGUCAAUAUUCGGUUGACUUUUCCAACUUAAGCUUACUCAAAAGAGACUAAGUGUCUCAAACCUUCUCAAAACCUUUCCGAACUUGAACCAACCAACCCGGUCACACAUAGAACCAAUAAACAAAGCAAUAAGAAGCAGAAAUGGGGGAAACAGAGUGGUAACUCAUGAGAUGACUGGCCAGGUCGUCAAUUAAUGGUCCAUAAUAGAGCCGCAUGCAAUAUAAAGUUUUGUUUGGUUGACGCAUCAAAGGUCUCCACUCCAGUAUUCAAUAAUUCCUUUAAUUCAUCCAUCAAAGGCUGAAGAUAAACAUUAAUUGCAUCUCCCGGACUUUCAGGACCAGGAAUAUGCAUCGACAAAAUAAAAUUAUCUUGCUUCAUACAUAGCCAAGGUGGUAAAUUAUAAGGAAUAAGUACAACAGGCCAAAUGCUAUACGGGGUUGUAGAACUUCCAAAUGGUUGAAAACCAUCACUAUCAAGUCCAAGUGGAACAUUAUGAGGUUCAGCGGUGAAAGACUGGUGAAGUUCAUCAAACAUUUUACAUGCCAUUGAGACAGUUGGGUGCCUCAUUAUUCCAUCGUUAACUCUUUUUUCAUGAUGCCAUGUCAUUAAAGAUGAUAUCUUUGAGGACAUAAACAAUCUUUCAAGUCUUGGCUUUAAGGGAAAAUAAAGUAAAAUUUUGUGCGCUAUCUUUUUCCUAUUCUUAAAUUUAGUUUCUCCACUAUGUUUAUCCUUUUUCCCUCUAGAUGCUCCAGAUACUUUGCAAGAUUCAAGAAACUUGUCAUCCUUCCAAUAUAGCAUGUAGUUAUUCUUACACGCAUCAAUUUUCUUGUAAGAAAGUCUAAGAUCCUGAAUUAUCUUCUUUGCCUCAUAAUCUGAAUCUAGAAAGUUUGAUUCAUCAGGCAAUAGAUCUUCCUUCAACAUCUUCAACAACUUUGUAAAUGACUCAUGACUCCAACGCCCAAUACUUUUGAUAUGAAGCAAUUUAACCAUAGUAUAAAGUUUAGAAACUUUUGAAUUUUAGUACAAUGGUUUCUCAAAACCCUUUAAAAGCCUAUAGAAUUUUUUUGCUUCAAGAUUUGGUUGCUCCUCAAGAAAAUCAUCACCGUCAAUGUUCGUGUUGUCUGCAUCAAAAUCAGGGUAUAAAUCUCUUAGAAAACCAUGUAUUUCAUCCUCACCAUAAGCUUCUUCAAUGUCAUCAUCUUCUACAUCUUCUUAAUUUGAUUGUGGCUCACCUAACUUUUCCCCAUGAUGAUACCAAAAAGUAUAAUUUUGAAUUAUUCCAUGUAUUAUUAAAUGUGACUUAACCAUCUCAUGUGUUCCCGAAGAUGUAUUACAAUAUUUGAUACAUGGACAACGUAUUACAUGUGCCUCACUUAAUCUUGUAAAAGCAAAAUCCAAAAAACUGUCCACCCCAAGCUUGUAAGCAUUACCAAGUCGGUCAUGGAUAAGUUCCAUCCACUUCUUAUCAUGUGCCAUAAUCUGUUGCAUGUGUAAUAUAUAUGUAUAUAUGAUUAAAAUAAUGUAUUAGCUAGAAGUAAACAUUUAUUCAACAAGCCAAAAAAUAAGUAAACACUUUAACUUGUAUAUAGUACAAAUGUAUACUAAAGCAAAAUCAAUAGUUCAAAAGUAUUUACCAAAAAUAUCCACUAGUUCAAUAAUUUGAGCGAAGAGGGGCGAUACAAUAUCAAUAUCUAGUAUGAGUGAAUCAUCAUGAAUUGACAAGUUUUACACUCGCCUAUUUAUCUCUUCUAUGGUUCUAGAUAAUUUCUUCUCAAAGAACAAUCUUUUACCAAUGACUAAUCAAAAACAAAACAAAAAGUGACUCAAUUUGCUUAUCAUGCAUUUCUGAGUUUGGCAACCAAAAUAGGCAUGUCCUUUGGAGAUUAUCUUCUUUCAGCUUUAUCAAAUGUUGGUAUUCGCACGUUCAAGGUUGACGAACUUGAGAUAGAUGAAAAGGGAUGCAAAGAAUUGCAGAAAACAAUCCAAGAAUCAAGAAUUCUCAUUGUUGUCUUCACUAAAGAGUAUACCUCUUCAGAGAGGUGCCUUGAUAAACUUGUGUUUAUACUUGAGUGUAAGAGAGCUUUUCGACAUUUUGUUCUACCUAUGUUUUAUGAUGCGGAUCCCUCAGAAGUCAGGAAACAAAAAGGGAGUUUUAACAAGAUUCUUUAAUAUAUGAAGAGAGAUGUUAAUCCAAGACCGAAGGAAGGAGAUUGGAAUUGUUGCAUAAGGUGAAGGAAUGGAAGCCUGCUCUAACAGAAGUUGCUGAUUUGGGAGGAAUGGUCUUAUAGAAUAAAUCUGGUAGGUAAACUUUUACUAGCUUGAUGUUUAUAGGUAGAUUUAUAUUAGUGGAUUUCAAAUUGUUCCACUACAGAGUAUGUGCUUUAUUCCUGACUUUAGAUGGUAUUAAAUACAAACUAAUUUUUAGGUGUGAGUCAAAGUUUAUUCAAGAGAUUGUGAAGGUGAUUGUAGGAAAACUAAAUCGCGCAGUUUUAAGUGUUGCUCUCUAUCCAGUUGGAAUAGAUUCUCAAGUUAGAGACAUUCAAUCUCUGAUUGAAAGAUGGAUCAACUAGUAUUGAUAUUAUGGCUAUAUAUGGGAUGGGAAGUAUAGGUAAAACUACACUAGCUAAGACAGGUUACUUAUGAACUUUGACAAAUUUGAUGGCAGCAACUUUCUUGCUGAUGUAAAUAAAAGUUCAGAAAGCCAUGAUGGUCUUGUAGGUAUACAAAGACGACUUGUUUCAAAUGUUUUGGGGAAGAAGGUUGAGAAGAUAUACAAUGUCGAUGAAGGAGUCAGCAAGAUUCAAGAGGCCACUCUUUGCAGAAGAAUUCUUCUUGUUCUCGAUGAUGUAGACAAUAGAGAUCAGUUAAAUAUUGUACUUGGGAUGUGGUAAUAGUUUUAUCUAGGUAGUAAAAUUAUCAUUACAACCAAAAAUUAGCACCUACUUGAUGCUAGUGAGGCCUGCAGAUUAAGAUGUAUAAGGUCACGCCAUUGAAUGCUCAAGAAUCAAUUCGACUCGUCAGUUGAUAUGCUUUUGGAAAAGAAUAGCCUUCACAAGAACCUUUCAGAAAAUGUGAUACUUCAUUGUGAAGGAAUUCCGUUGGCUCUCAAAGUUUUAGGUUCUUCUCUUUGUGACAAAAGUAUAUAGGUGUGGGAAUGUACAUUAAGAAAACUAAAGGCAAUCCCUGACAAUAAGAUCCUGGAAAAACUCAGAAUCAGCUAUGAUUUACUGCCAGAUUAUGAUGUACAAAAUCUAUUCCUCGAUAUUGUCUGUUUCUUUGUUGGAAAGGAUAAAGAUUAUGCAGUUACAUUACUUGAUGGAUGUGGUUUUUCUCAGUAGUAGGACUUGAGAUUCAUUUAGAUAGAAAUCUGAUUGAAAUGGACAAGGAUAAGUUGAAAGUGGAUUCAUUGAUUCAAGAUAUAAGAAGAGAGCAAAGUCAGACAAAGAAGAGACUAAAGUAGGUUAUUCACCUAAACCAAAUUAAAACAUGUGACUUCCCCCUCAAUCUCCAGGUUAAAAGUGCUGCUCAGAGCUUUUAAUUAAUCACUGCAGGUUGGUGAUGAUUUAUCACGGAAACAACUCAGUGAAUUUUAUAUUGUUACUUUCUGCAGUACUUCAACAAUAUUAAUAUGUUUACAAUUCAUAGAUUAUGAUAAAAUGAAAGUUUGUUUUGAGCCAAUUCAUAUAACCAGAGAUCUACUACAUAAACGAGCUAAAAUAUGCUAACUUUAGUUGACUGAAUAAUGUGACUUAAAAUUCACAGAGAACAUGCAUAAAGCAUUUUACCAAAACAAGUUAGUGGCAUCUCUGACUUAGCAGAUCUUAAUUAUUGUAUAGUUAUUUUCUAGAUUUUCUUAACAAAGACGAUCAUCUCUUUCGAGAUGAAGAAGUUGUAAAGAACAAAACUAAACUAAUCCCACUCGUCAACUACAUUAACCAACUAAUUAUGGACUUGAAGAACUAAGAAACACCACAUCUAAACACAUAUUGUUACAUAUUAAGAGGUAAAUUUAAUUCCUACAAGCAUGUUUAAUUCUUAUAUCUUAAUCUUCCAGCAAGAAAACAAAUAGCAGAGGUACUACAAGAAGCCUCUCCAUAAAGGGGGUCAAUGUAAUUAUAAAUCUGGAAAAUAUACAUAUAAUUCUAAGAAGAAAUCCAAUUUAUGAAAAGCAAAGAGAUAAAAAAAAGACGCGAUUUCACAAUAGUUAUUACUAUAAGUUUAGCGACACAGAUUCACCAUUUUAACUUGACGGAUGAAAACAGGGGGAAUAUAGAUAGAGUGACGGAGAGAGAACAGAGGGAGGUGAUCAGAAAAGAAGCCAAUAAAAAGAGACGAAAAAGCAGAAGGAAAAAUCAUCCAAAUAUCAUCCAAGCCCACCAUUACCCUCUCUAAAAAAUCCCAAUCCUUAAGUUCAUCUUUUCUGUUCCUAUCGAUUAAACUCAUCCCAAAUCCAGUUAUUUUUUUGGACAAAAUCAGCUCAACAUUAGCUCCAAAAUAAUCCCAAGACAACCCCAAAAUGCAAUAGUAAAACGAAAACUAAAACCAAGAAAAACUAGCUCUAAAAUGCUACCAACAUUUCAGCCGAAAACUCCAUGAAAACAAGUUGAAAAUCGGUCCAAAACAUAAAAUAACAACAUUAAAUGGUAGUUAUAACUUGAAUUUACCUUGACGAGAAGGAGAACAGAAUCUUAUUAGCGUUGACACAGAUUCACCAAAGAAGACAGAUUAUAAUCAAUGUACAGAAACCCAAAUUUUUCUGUGAUUAUAUGUUGAGUUCUGCUCUACUCUGUAUAUAUUGUGUUAAUUUAAGAACUUCUUCGCUGAUCGAGUAGUGGCCAGUUGCAGCGAGAUCCCUAUUUGUUCAUGAUUCUUUGCCUCUUUUUUGCUGAAGUUGUUGUGCGUGUUUUGGGAUAGCAAUUUAGGCGAGAGAUUGUAGGGUUUUUUUUUGAUAAUUUGGGGGUAAUGUGCGGAUAGUUGGUUGAGAAAAUAAAGGAGGGAAAAAUUAGAGCUUGUUUUUCAUUUUUAUUAAGAUUUAACGACGGGAUUGACACAAUUUAAAGGACCACAAAUAAUUCCCUCGUAAAAAUUACAAUAAAAAAUAACUUUAACGAACACAAUAAAUAUUGGCCGCUAUAAGUACACAUAUAACGACUGGAUUAAUUUCCUUUCGUGAAAAAAUGGCCGUUAAAGAUCUCUUUUCUUGUAGUCUAAGGAUCAACUGACUUUGCAAAACCUGAGUCUGCACAAAAAAUAUGCAGAAGUGUAGUAUGAGUACACCACAAUGGUACCUAGCAAGUAUCAAGACUAACCUCAAUGGAGUAAUGAUGAGGAACAGUCAAGACACCUACUGGACUAAAUAACCUAAACAAGUAUAAGUAUAGGGACAACAGAGUAUGAUAUCUACCUAACGUCUACGCGAUAUGGAUAACAAUACAGUAAUUGCAAUAAGAAAUGAAAACAACAAGUAUCAGCGGAAUACAAUAAUGAUGACACAAAAGAGUGAAUGGAAACACAACCUAAAUUUGAGAUCACAAAUACAACAUGGACAAGUAAUAACUCAACAACUACGACUGCUUUCACAUCAGGUUUUAGUCAACAACUCCACGAGGUACCGAACCUCGGACAAAUCACAACUCACGGGUCUCAAUACUUGAAUCCAUAACACUUGGUAUCCUGUGCCCUCAUAACACCUUAUAACUGCACUGAUGAUUCAUGUGCCAGAUAGAGCUAUUCUGGCAUAGAAGGCAAGUAAACAAGGGUGUGCAUCUAUACUCAACAAUAUCAUGAAAACCUCUUAUCCAAUAAGGGUGCUUAACUACGUGUAUGCUUGUAUAAGUGUCCUAACAUAGUUCAUACCAGCUAGUGAGCAUAAGGAAAAGACUGGACAACACGUAAAAUGUUUUUUCACAACUUUCACAAGAUAAGGCUCACACAGGUAAGUGUACCACUACACAAAUAUCAACAACAAGAAUGCCCCAGGCCAUCACAAUCAUCACAAAUCAAUCCAUGACAUAGCCCACCUUGUCUCGCUACGUGUGCAAUAGUAAAAAUAAUACAUGCCUUGUCUUGCAACACGUGCAUAAUAAUGUUCCCAUCUUGUCUCACCACAUGCGCAACCAGAGGCUGACCCAAGAUUUGAGUACAACGGGCGCACCACUGUAUGUUAAUUACUAACGAUAAAAUUUGACGUGAAACUCUUUCAAAACUUAAUGAUUAUGAUAACUUAUCAUCCAAAUAUAAACAAAAUAAAGUUCUAAAGAAAAAGAAAGCACCUAACAGAGAGAAAUUUUUUCGCAAAAUGGAUGCUAUAAGAAGUGAAGGUAUUUGAUUAAGCAUGUCUCACACUUUAAAAUUUCUAAUUUUAGUUAAAGAAGGGUUAGUGAUCAAAAGUGCAUUCAAACUUUAAAUUAUAAAAAAACAUACUAAAGAAAUCAUAAUUAAGGGCAUGUUAAUAAUCAAUUUGAGGCUUUUAAUUUUAAGGGAGAAAUUUAAAAAAGAUAAAUUAAUUAAGUAGACUAUUAUGUGUUAGUGCUAAACUAUAAUUGAAUUCCAAAAAAAAUAUAAAAGUAAAAAAUAAAGUAAUUUUCUAAGUAUAAUUACCUUGUAUUCAAAGAAUUAAAAUAGAAAAUAGAAGAAAAGGUAAGAACUAAAAUUGAGAGUAGGAGAAAAGCGUAAGCUGGUUUUGAACCCACGUCUAUCAAGCUAAGAAGGAAACUUUAGUGCGCAACACCAUUUCUCCCAUAUAGCAUUUUGUAUUUGGGGGCACAAGCAAAAUAUUCAAGGGGUCCAUAUGUAUGUAUAGAUAUAUAUAACAUAUAUAUACAGGAUUUUUGCCGAGGCUAGCAGGAUCCCGUGACCCCGUAACCCACAAGGUGGAUCCUCCUCUGUGCCCAAACCACAUAUAUAUAAAUAUCCUGCUUUGUCAUGCCGCAUAUGCAAAUAUCAAUAGUAACAACAGCACGGCAGAAACCUCGUGCAACCCCAUAACAACAACCGCAUGGCAGAAACAUCGUGCAUCACAAUAUCAAUAACCGUACGGCAAAAACCUCGUGCAUCACCACAACAAAUACCAUAACAACAAUAACAAUAAUACAACGUACGGCAAGUAAAUCAACUCAAGAACCUACGAUCACAAGAAAUGGUAGAACUAGUUCACAAGGAAUAACCAUAAUAAAGAAUACUAUGUGUAUAAGAGCAACUCAGCAUGGAAGGGAACAAUGUGCAACAACGAUCCCAUAAUGUACGGUUCAACAAUAAGAAAACUAACAUGAGUCAAAUAAUUUCAAAUAAAGGCAAGUCAACUAAGGCAUAAGAUGUCUAAUCUUCUUUUAAAGCUAGACAUUCAUGAAAGAGACACAACCACUUCAAAUAAAGGUAGGUAGCGGGAAGAUAACCACAACCUCAAUUAAGGGUGAAUAUUUACAAAAUGGGUAACUACAACUUCAAAUAAAGAUAAGUAGUUUAGGAAAAAGAUAAAUGUCUAAAUAAGAGAUAACAGUUUCAAUUAAGGCACAUAUGAAUCAAGUAUCCAUAAUAGUGGAUCAUGAAGCAAUUAACUCUAAUUAAGUAGGUAUAUGUGGAACUAGUAAUUAAGGAAUGCAAUAAUAACAAGAACAAUUGCACAUUCAAUGAACACAAGGACCUAGGAACCAUUAAAAUCAAUUUCCAAAAAUAAGUCCGAGUACGUACUAGCCACCUCGUGUACACAGACUACAAUCAACAUAGAAGACUCAAAUCUUAAGGGGUAGUUCCCCCUCACAAGGUUAGGCAAGAUACUUACCUCAAAGAAGGCAAACUGAUACUCUAAGAUGAACUUCUCGGAUGAAAUGACCUCCGAACGGCUCAAAUCUAACCAAAACAACUUUAAAGCACAAAUACAACAUAUAAGAAAUUAUUCCGGAUCAUAAAGAGUCAAUCCUCAUCAAAAUCGAGAAAUCGACCCAAAAGUCGAUCUCCGGGCCUGCACCUCAGAACCCGACAAAUUUUACAAAACCCGAACACCCAUUCCGAUACAAGUUCAACCAUACUAAAAUUACCCGAACCACUAUUUUUCUCAACUAAAAAUACAAAUUAAAUGAUAAAAAUAAUGAUAAAUUUAUGGGAUAUAUUAAAUUAUAGGCGAAGAACACUUACUUUGCUUGAAAAAAUCCACAAAGAAUCGCUCAAAACCAAGCUCUACAAGUCAAAAUAUGACAAAAUGGCUUAACCCUCGAUUUGAAAAUCUUAUAUUCUGCCCACGUCUUUAUGCAUCACGAACGCGGAGAUAGAAACAUGUUCGUGGAGAAGAAAAAAGAAAACUGCCCAGUUUGUUAAUCGCGAACACGACAACAAGCUCGCGAACGCGUAGAAGGAAAAGCUUGAUGGCUCACAACUGGCCUACGUGAACGUGUGAAAAGGUACGCAAACGCGAAAGAGGGAUAACCAUACGUACGCAUUCGCGGACAUAAGAAUGCGAAUGCUUAGAAGGAAUGGUCACUAGUGCUCAGGGCCUGGUUUGCACUUCGCGAACGCGAGGAUAUAGCUGUGAACACGAAGAAGGAAAAAGCAAACCUUCGCGAUCGCGGAUGGAGGCUCGUGAACGCGAAGAACAAAUAACUCCCCUUCCAAAAUAGCAUCUCGUGAACGCGAAGGAGAUGAUGCGAACGCGAUUAAGAAAACCAGAUGACAGAAAACAAUAGUCCAAAAAUAGGGGAAAAUGACCCGUAGCCCAUCCGAGACACACCCGAAGCCCCUGGGACCCCGUAUAAACAAACCAACAAGUUCCAUAACCUAACGCGGACUCGCUCAAGGUCUCAAAUUACAUCAAACAAAGCCAAAACCAUGAAUCCCACCACGAAUCGAACUUAUGAAAUUUCAAAUCUUCCAACUUCUAAAACUUAUGCCGAACCUAUCAAGUCAACCCGGAAUGACACCAAAUUUUGCAGACAAGUCCCAAAUGAUAUAACGGAGUUGUUCCAACUGUUGGAAUCACAUUUUGGCCCCGGUAUCACAAAAGUCAACUAUUGGUCAUACUUCUGCAUCUUCCAAACUUCAACUUUUCCAAUAUUCGCCGAAAUGCUUUAAAUUACCCUAAUUACCCUACAUACCUCCAAUUCUAAAUCCGGAUGCAUGCCUAAGUCCAAAAUCACCAUAUGAAGUUGUUGACAACAUCCAAAACUCAUUCUUGAGCCGUUUACACAAAAGUCAUAUUCCGGUCAAUUCUUACUACUUAAGCCUCCAAAACUGAAAUCUUUCUUCCAAUUUUACUCGAAUCAUCUGGUAACUAAAUUCAACCAUGCAUGCAAGUCGAUACACAUAAUACGAAGCUGUUCAAGAUCUUUUGACAUUGAACAAAACUUAAAUUCCCAAAACGAGCGGCCGGGUCGUUACACCUAUAGUAAUAUAUGAUACCUAUAGUAAUGUAUAUUAUUCACAAAUAAGGUCAGAAACAAAGCUUGUACUAAAUAAAAAAUUAUUAUUUCGACUUAAAAUUAAUAUUUAAGAUACAAAAUAAAAAUUUAAUUGAUUCUUUCUCAAAAAAGGAUACUUACCAUAACUGAAUUAUGCACAAAAUCUAUAUUAUACACAAAAUUUAAUUAAAGAUACCUAUAGUAAUAUAUAUUCAUUUACUUGAUGAAAUUGGGUCUUUUUAUUUGUACCUCCAAAUAUUUCUAUUUUGGUUGUUAAAAAGAGAUUUUUUUUAGUUUAAAUCAAUAACUAAUUGCCUUCGAUUAAUUAAAGAAUGAAAUCCAACUUACAGAAAAUGUUGGACUACUACUUCCAUUAAUUAUGUUUAAAUUUAAAUUUUAAUGUUGUCUUAAAAGUGCCAAGUGAUAUUUCUCAACAUGCCACUUGACUUAACCUCAUGCUUCACUGCCCUUUUUUUGAUAUAAUACUACUAUCCACACUCGCACAUUACGCGGAGAAUAAUAAAUAUAAUUUUUUAUCAGAAAAUAUAUAUUGAAAAGACGGUAGAUACAAAGGAGUAUUGAAAUGCUAUUAUUUUUUGGAACAUAAAAAUUUAAUGGAUAUUCGUAUAAUAAAGUAAUAAGGAAACACAAUAAAUAAACAUACAACUAUUCCCUGAAGUCCAAUAAUGUUCUUUAUAGCCUCAAAAUUAACAAUUAUAUUCUUCCAUGAUGUGUGUGUUUUGGAUUGUUCCUCAGAAAUAUGUUUUCUCAAAACGUUCUCCAAGUGAGAAAGUGGUAAAGAAGUUAGGGCCAAGCAAAGCAUUAAUACGAAAUAAGAUGAACCCACUCUAUAAAAAUGUUAUGAGUAAAAGGACUAUCACAACUCGGAAUUCCCACCGUCGGGACCAUGAUGGUUAACAUUUCACUUGCUAGGCAAGCUAAAGUUAGAACAACUUAUUUAAUUUUCAAUAGUUUCAAUAAAAUAAGGAGAAAGAACAGGAAUAUCGGUAGAAAUUGAAAGUGAAAUGCGGAAGCUAAACAACCAAACAUCUGCUAAAAUCCCUAGGCCCAGUGUAACAAGUGCACGAGCUACUAAAAUAAUACAUAUAAGGGUAUGAAAUAAAUACAAAUCUGUCUAAAUGAAAAUAUACAACUAUUUAAAGGGGAGGGGGACUCCUGGAGCUGCGGGCGCUGAGCGGCUAUACCUCAAGUCUCCGCUGCACUGAUCAAUCCAAGCACGCUAAUAGCCGCCACUGGGACCAACUCCAAAAUCUACACAAUAAGUGCAGAGUGUGGUAUGAGUACAACUGACCCCAUGUACCCUAUAAGUGUCGAGCCCAACCUUGGUGAAGUAGUGACGAGGCUAAGAUGGGUCACCUACACUACAACCUGUACGCAGUAUAUAAUAAAAGCAGCAAAAGGAAAUACCAAACAAGGUAAGACAGUCAACUGAAAAUAAUAGCUACAACCUUAAGAAAUAAACCAGUUUCAUUUAGAAUUAGCAAUUCUUAGGUUUUCAAAUGAAAAUACUAAAAACCAACACAUCUCAAGGAGAUAGAAACACAUAGGUUGUUGCGGCGCAUAACUCGAUCCUACCGUACAACAAAUAAUCCUUCCUUAUUUCACCGUAACACAUGAACAACAAUAUAUAUAUAUAUAUAUAUUGCGGAACACAACCAAAUCCCACCAUAUAUCAAUUUCAGUAUCAUAGUUCAUCCUUAUUUCACCAUAUCAAUCCACCCUUAUACCACCUGUUGCAGCGUGAAACCCAAUCUCACCAUACAAUAAAAAUUUACCCUUAUUCCACCAUAUCAAUCCACCCUUAUUACAUCUAUUGCGGCGUGCAACCCAUAUUCCACCAUAUCAACCCACCCUUAUGUGAUGACCCGGCCAGUCGUCUCAUGAGUACCGCUUCAUUUUUCCCUAUUUAUGCUUCUUUAUGCUUCGUUAUCCGUGUUUUAAGUGAUCAAGUUGAUCAGUUUGAGUUCGGAGAGAAUUUGGUAAGAAAUGAGACACUUAGUCUCUUUUAAGACGGUUUAAGUUGGAAAAGUCAACCGAAUGUUGACUUAUGUGUUAGGGAGCUCGGAUGUGAGUUCUGAUGGUUCGGUUAGCUUUGGGGGUGAUUUAUAGCUUAGGAGUGUGAUCGGAAUUGGUUUUGGAGGUCCGGUGUAGAAUUAGGCUUGAAUUGGCGAAGUUGAUAUUUUGGCAAUUUCUGGUUGGUAGGUGAGAUUUUGAUCCGGGAGUCGGAAUAGAAUUUUCGAGAGUUGCAGUAGCCUUGUUAUGUCAUUUGGGAGGUGUGUGCAAAAUUUCAGGUCAUUCGGAUAUUGUUUGGUUGGGUUUUUGAUCGAAAGUGUGUUUCGGAAGAUUUUAGAAACUUAAGCUUGAAUCUGAUGUGUUUUGAGUUAUUUGAUGUUGUUUGAGGUGUUUUGAUGAUUGGAGCAAGUUUUGAUAAGGUUUUAGGAUGUGUUGGUGCCUUUGGUUGAGGUCCCGGGGGGCCUCAGGUGAGUUUCGGGUGGUCAAAUGGAUCAUUUCUAAGUUUGAAAAAUUGCAGAAGUUCAGAUUCAGCUGUUGCAGGGUUUUGCCCUUCACGAUCGCGAGGGAAUUCUGCGAUCGCAUAGAAGGAAAUGAGGAAGUGGCCCAGUUGCUCUUUGCGUUCGCAAAGCUUAGCUUGCGAUCGCAUUGUUUGGGGAGAGUGUGCAUCGCGAACGCAUGAGGUGGUCCGCGAUCGCGUAGGAUCAGUGGCUCAGGCAUUGCGAUCGCAUGGUCUUGGACACGAUCGCAUAGAGUUAUUUUGGGGAGUUUAAAAAAUUUGUUCUUCACGAUCGCGUGGGAAGUGCCAUGAUCGCGAUGAAGGAAAAGCAGGCCUGGGCAGAAUGUUUUAAUUCAUUUCAUCCGCGAUUUUGGAGCUCAUUUACUCCAUAGUUGGUCUUUUGAGAGCUUUUUGAAGGAAAAUUAAAGAGGGAUUCAAGGAGAAACGUUUGGAGGUAAGAAUUUGGACCUAAAACUUGAAUCUAUUGUGAAAUCCACCAAGAAAUCAUGGAAUCUUAAGCUAAAAUUGGAAGAACUAGGGCUUGGAAUUUUGGACUUUUCAUUUGGGGAUUUGGAGGACCAUUUGUGGUCGGAUUUGAGAAAUUUUGGUGUGUAUGAACAUGUGGGGAGAUAAGGAACCCGUUGAUAUGAAAAUUCUAAGUUUCGAGAAGUGGGGGCUCGGGUUUUGCUAAUAUCGGGAUUUUUGGUAUUUUUCAAUUGUUUUCGCUUGAGCUUUGUUCCUUUGGCAUAUUGUGACGUAUUCGUUCUGAUUUUUGUUAGAUUCGACGUGAGCGGAGGCCAAUUUGAAGGGCAAAGGAAUCACGGAAUAGUAUUUUCACCGGUUCGAGGUAAGUAACCAUUGUAAAUCUGGAACUAAGGGUACAAAACCCUAGUAUUUGACUUGAUUUGAUAAAAGCGGUGACACACAUGCUAGGUGACGAGCGUGUGGGUGUGCACCGGUAGGGAAUUUGUCUUGGUCCGUCCCGUAGCGACUAUUAAGCCGCGUAAUUGAUUUGGAAUUCUAUAUUAUUCUAUGCUUCAGUCACUUAUACUCUAUUAUGGGUUGUAUGCCAUGUUUGGGGCCUUGUGCCGAUCUGUAAAGACCCUUAGGGGCACUUUGACUGUUUUCCUCACUUUACUUGUUUAAAGCAUAGCCUCAGUCAUGUUUUUACCUGUCAAAUGUUUAAAACUGGUUUUAUCAUUCUGCUCCUAUUGUGAGGGCUGUAUGGGCUGAGCUCCCUAAAUUAUAUUGUUAUGCCCGAGAGGCAGUGAGGUUAAUGACUGAGAGAGGUCGAGAGCCUAAUUGUGAGGAUAUUUAUGUAUAUGUGAGUUAUGGAUCGAGCUGCACGCUGCAGCGAUGCUUAUAUGGAUCGGGCUGCACGCCGCAACGAUAUAGCGUUUAGGCUGUAGGAGCCCCUCCAGAGUCUGGACACCCCCAGUGAGCGCAGUCGACUAUAUACAUGGAUCGGGCUACACGCCGCAUCGAUAUAUGGAUUGGGCUGUACACCGCAGCGAUUACUAUGAUUUUUGUUAUUAUGAGGAGCCGAGUGUUGAGAGUGAGCACUCAGUGACGAGAAUUGAGUCCCGAGUGACUGAGAGGCUGCCCGAGGUGCCAUAUUCUGAGUGAUUCCUUGCCCCAGAGGCCUUGUUAUGCUGUUUUCAAUGCUUCACUCUUCCUUUUUUAAACUAAGCCUCUGUUGAAAAUACUGCUAAGUAUAUGAUUUCAAGUUUUAAAUUGAAAGUGUGGAUUUUAUGACGAAACUGGUUUUAAACUGUUAAGUUGAGCUAUUAUCCUGUUGCUAUUUUCAGUUAUAUGUUUUAACUGCUCGUCACUAUCUUUAGUCUUUAUUUACUUUAGUUACUUACAGAGUUGGCAUACUCACGUUACUCCCUGCACCUUGUGUGCAGAUCCAGGUGCCCGAAGGGCAGAGUGAGGACUUUCUGCCGAGUCAGUAUUCACUAGUGAUUACGAGGUAGCUGUAUGACGUCCGCAGCCCUGUUUUCUCCUCUCUAUCGAGUUUAUUUUCACAUUUCCUAGACAUAAUGUACUAGAUUUUUAGUUAUGUAUUAGAGGCUCUAGACUCGUGACACCAGAUUUGUUGGGCUGUGUAGUAGUGGCUAUGUUGAUUUUCCGCAUAUUUCUAUCAUUUUAAUACUAUUAAUGGAUUCUGCAUUCAAACCUUAUGUUAGAAAAAUGGCUUAAUGUUAUUGGUAA
rnacentral:lncRNA from 1 species